rnacentral:lncRNA from 1 species
UUUGGGUCAUGAGACGCUUCUACUCCAAGUCUCCAAUGGAUUGCCUUCUUAUGGAGAUAUGAUUAGUGGAGAAGUGAAUAAACUGUAGUAGUUAAAAUGGGAACUACGUUGAAUUCACAGGAAGGUACAGGUUUGGCAAGGAAUUCAAAUAUUCAAAAAAAAAAAUUGUUACCCCAUUAAACAUGAAUGGAGGGAAUGUGCUAAAGCUUUUAAAAGAUGAUGAGUAGGAAAGGGAAUUUCUUAUUCAUAAUUGAAAGCAGUUUUCUUGAAAACACUUUUAAAACCUAAAGAAUAUCAAAAGUAGAAAUCCUUCGUGUCUAGGACUGAUCUAAUCACUUUUUAAGCAAAACUAACUCAAAAGUAUCUUAAAAGCUUUUUUUUUAAGAUAGCCCUAAAUUACAUAUUUGUGAUCACGGAUGAUCUGGUCAUCAAAGGUUUACACUUGAGUAGAUUCGAUCUUUAGAUAUUCAAUAGAUCAAAUUGUGGUGAGACUUAAUCUGGACUACUGAAUUUUUGACAGCCGGAUCUUCCAAGUUUUGGCUGAACGUGUUUAAGCGUAUCAAGAUCUCUCUAUUUAUGAUGAGCCCAACAACAUCGUUCAAAUCUUGCUGGUGCUAAGGGGAAUGGGGCACAUAUGGGUGCAUGGGCUCAAGUUUUUGCCUACUCAUAUGGGAAGGAGGAAUGCAAGGCUCAUAUGGGAAGAUGAGAAACGCCCAAUCGACAAAAACCUCGAGAGAGAGAAGGUGACGGAGAACACUCUCAUCAAGUAUUGGGUGGACUCUUUCUGUGUAUGAAAGAAAGAAGGGAUGGCGACUGUAAAAUGGUUAGACCUCAAGGUCCUCAACUCUUGAUCUGUACUUUGAUCAAACUUCAAAGGAGGUAGUGCAAAUAACCCUUCAAUAUUUUAAAUAAGUCAUUUUCUUUUCUUUUCUUUUUUUUUUUUUGGUUAUUUGAAGGAAAACAUUUACAACAGAAAGAAAAAAAAACAAAAAACGGUUAUGUAAGUGAACUUUACAUGCAUUACAGUUUGUGAAAUUCGUCAAUUCUCUGCAGAAUUCUGUUCAGUGGACUGAACAUAAGCGCAAUAUUCCACAACAUCAUCUUUGUAAGAACCAUAUUCGUUUUACCGUUGACUUAGCCUCCAAAGAGUGGCUUCAGUAACACCUAAUCAAAUAAACUUCUACUUCUCGUGAAAAUCAAUGUUCAAAAGCAUCCACACAAGGGAAAAAUAUAUCUUGACAGAUAAAAGGUAUUCUAACAGUUCAAAGAAACCUCAAGUCUCCAAUCUGCAUAGUCCAAUUAAGGAACCAAUUAUUAAUGGAUCAUUGCAAGAAGUCUGAUUUUGACCUGAAAUGAUGAUGGACGACCAAAACUAUCAAGUACAAAAGCUGAUUCAUUCACUCUGCCUCUGACCCAAAACUGGAACAUCUUCGUAACGCUUCUGUAAUGCAACAUUUAUGAAUUUCAGUUAGACAUCCAUGAAGACCACGAGGAAGGUAAAGCAGACAUAUCUAUUAUUAUUACAUAAAGCAGGAAAGUAAAAGACUAGAAGCAUCCAUUUCUAGAAGCAGAGAAGAAUAAUGACUAUAAAAGACACGAUUUGCAGAACACAAGCCAAAUAACACGCAGGUUUAAUUUCAAAUGCUCACUCAAUUAUGACACUUACCAACCCCACUCGAAUAGGGUACCAAAUACAGUUCUAGACACAAUUUUCAAAGCUUACUUUAAUCCGGCAAGUACCUAUGAUCACUCAAUAGAAACUUCGAUGGCAGAUUUUGAAAAUAAUAAUUAGCAUGAUAUCAUAAGCAUUUAGGCCUAUUGUGGAUCAGAUAACAUCAAAAUAAAGAGCUAAGACAAAGUUAAAACAAAUCCUCAGACCGUGGAGUUCUUAAAAGUUUUGGGCUGAGAGAAUAAACGGUGAUUUUUCUUUAGGACCCAAGUGGAAGGAGAUUUUGGACAUUUCAAGAUCAGAAAUGCAUGCCACUUGGUGUGCGGAAUACUUCAAAAUUAGGGAGAAGAAAGCAGCGAGGGGAGCUAAGGUUGGUGGAGGAAGAACAAACCUUACUCCCUUUCAAUGAAGGACGCAACUUACAGAAAAAAAAAAGGAAAAAGGAAGCAUGAGAAGAAAGGAACAAGGUAGGGGAGAGAAGGGAAGCAUGCAGAUCUUGAUGAGGGGGAAAAUGUUAGGAGAUCUAUGGCACGAUGUUCAGAAAUGAUUGGUCAGUCCAGAUAGUGCAACUGCCUAGUAUACAUUGCUUUUAUUGCACACAAAAGCUUCUCUAAAUGACUCAAUGAAACUAAUUACUUGAUACUCCUUGGUCCAGAAAACAUUUCAGCUAUAGCAUCACACAUAAGAAUCUUAAUGCUGUUUUGCAUGAUCUAAUAAAUAACUUAUCCGAACAAUUCUUACUAAGAAGCAACCAUAGAAAAUUAGAGUUCAAUCUAAUUCAGCUGAUUCACUGCAUGUUCUUUAGUAAUCAACAUUUUGACUUGGUCUUUUAAGUGUUCAUGAAUGUUCAAUUAGUCAAAUAGCUAACUAAAAUCAGAAAAUAAAUCUUUGAAAAGAUGGAUCUAAAUUCAAAGGUUCCUAUAUAUCAAUCAAGCUAUGGUACAAGUCUAAGGUCAAGGAACACAUGGUAAAUCAUCAUUUGGUGUCACACUGGAUAACGUCGUAGUCAUGAGAAGAGUGACAAGCAUCUUAAAUCAUCAAAAGGGUGAAUUUAAGCAGAUAACUACUAAACAAUAAGCCAAAACUGUAGACAAUACGAGGUGCAAGAAAGACUAAAUAAUAGAAUUCCUUUGUUUGUAUAUGAUACAUGUUUGAGCCUGUAAGAGCUAUGCUGUGCAGUAUCUCAAAUGAAUUUCAGCUGCAUCGAGUUAUAAUCCUACACUAUCCAACAUCUAUCACGAGAAGCGUACACAAAACACACUUCAAGCAUCAGUUCAGAAUUACCACAAUGACUAUUUUCUUCUCCCUCUAUUUCCUAAAACAACAGGAAGAUGAGCCUAGGCAUUUCAGCUAGUACUAUCAACUUGUAUCAGUUGGCUGGGUUUAUUGUCCAGCGUCUUGUUUAUAUAGCAUGCUACAAUCUUGCACAAAGAAAUUGCAGAAACCUCUAAAAUGAUCAAAAAUGAAGUGACUAUUCACAUCAUAUUUAACUCGUCCUUCUCAAUUUCCAACAGCCCCUAAAAGCUUUCCUUUUCCCCAGGAGAAAAUACAAGUUUAAUCUCCACUGUAUUUCCACCUCAUAUUCAACUCUCACUUUCCUUUUCUGAAAGAGAAAAUACAAUGAAUAAUUAAAGGAAAACAUCCUUCCCCAAUUGACAAUGUAUCGAUUAGCAUUAUUUGAAGUAAAUAAAGCAAAGGAACAUGAGACAGUUAACUAGAAGGGGAAAAAAAUACAACUGAUCAAAAUACUUCCAAGCAACAAUCUUUCCUAAUUUCUUAUAACUAGAGGUGUGAAAAUGGAUGACUUGGGAGGGUAUGGGUUGGUUAAAAUAGGUAAUGGGUAUAAGUGAAUCAAUUCAUUUAUACCCAUUUAAUUAGAUGGGUAUAAAUGGGUAAGUCAAAAAAUGAAUUGGGUAACUCAAUUAUCCAUUUAUAACUUAUUUAUUUUAACUUUUCAUAAACUCAUUUAAAUUUAUUUUUGUAAACUAUGUUAUCAAUUUGUACCACCAUUUGCACCCAUCAUUAGUUUUAAAUAUUUAUUUAUAAUAUUCAAUUAACCUAGUUACCAUUUUUUUUCAUCCGUACUCUAUGUCGCAAAAUUAUAUACUAUUUAAUAAUUGAACAAUAAGAAUAUAAAAAUUUGACAUAAGUACUAUAAAAAUUAACAUAAAAACUUGAUUAAAAAAUUUUGAAUUCCUAAUAUUUUUUUGUGUAAAUUUAAAUUUCAUUUUGAAAAGGUAGAAAAAGAUGCUAAAACUUGUCAUAAAUUGAGAAUGCUAAAAAAAUGAGUAAGUUAACAAAUUAAGAGAAAAUAAAAUGAUAAGAUAAAACCCAUAAAUAAUAAUAAUAAUGAAACAAAAGUAAUUAACAUCAUAACAAAAUAAAAAAUUUGAAAAAAAAAUGGGUGGGGGAAGAGAAGAGGUUUGGAGGGAGACAAUUCUAAAUGGAUUAAUUGGAUUUGAUGUGUUAUCCAUUAAUACCAUUUAUUAAAUGGGUAUUAUUGGGUAACUCAUUUGUACCUAUGUACAAAAACUUAAAAUACCAAUAUCUUUCUAUUCAUGGACGAAUAUGGGUAAAUUUAAUUAAAUGAGUUUGUUUGCCACCUAUACUUAUAACAAUCAAAAUCCACUUUUAUGGCUAAGUAUCAUACAUCACUUGACUAUAGGACAUCUUCGUUUAAUGUCUAUCUCUGCCAACAGGUUGUCGAUGUCUGUGCAAUAAUAAAUUAAACCUAAUUGUCAAUUAAAAUAAUCAAAACCCGAUUCCAAGUACUGGAGCAGGGACUCUAGGUGUGCAAUGAGUUAUUUUGAUUCACCUGUUCUCGAAGAGUUUGCUUGAUCCAAUAUACCCGAAUGGAAUGACUUUUUUUUGCACAAAUAAUUAUGAAUUUGUAGAUAGGGCAAGUAGGGUCGUAUCCUCAAGGAUUGGGAAUAUUUGUCUCUUUAGAAAUUCAAAGUAAUACAGGAGGUGUUUUUGAAUAAAUGAUGACAAUCAAAGAAAUUCAAAUAAAAAUAAAAAUAAAUAGCUAGCUAGAAAUUAAAUGACAAUUCUCUAAAAUUAGAGUAACAAUAAUUAAAGGUCUAGCCAAGAAAUAACUUCAGCAAUAGUUCACCUAAUUGAUCAUCGAUGUUCAAGCAAUUCCAAUUAUUUAUUAAUAGAUAGGUUAUAACUGCCAAACAAGUGAUAACAGUCAAUCCCUCGUUACUGUGUUGGUGAUUAAGGUACGCCCGUUAAUCACUGCUCUAAUUGAGAAACAAUCCUAGACACACCCAUAAGAUUUAAUUCUCCAAUUGUCUUGCGUAUUAAAUGAGCCCUAUUCUAAUCAAAUAACGCACUACCAGGGUUAUUUCAGAUUAUCCCGCGUAUCCCCUGACACAAACCUAAUCGUGCCAGUUGUCACUAUUUCAAAACAAUUAAAUAAUUACGGAUUUAAAUACCCCAAUUGACAAUAGAUUACCCAAUUAACUAAUUAUCCGGAUCCAAGAAAAUCAAUUAAUUGAACAAUCGUAAGCACUGUAAUCAAAGAAUAUGCAGAUACCAAUAAAUAAGAGAAAAAAUAAAAUUAAAUUAAUUUCACAAUUUUUAGGCGAACCAAAGCCUCUGUUGUUUCUCGACUAGAAAAGGGAUUUAAUUCAUCCUGAAUGCGAAAAGACCCACACAAAGCUGAAGGGACAAUUGCAGACAUUGUCUCCAGUUUCGAUGAUUCAAUUCGUUCGAAUUGGGAAAGAAAAGCUAAGACUACCAUUGUUUUCCUUGGUCUAGACAUCGCAGGAAGAAAAUCACAAGAAGACAAAAAAGGAAAAGUCCAAAAGCUAAAACUAAAAGUAGUGCUUCCUCUGUUCCUAAUUCUAAUUGCUACUCUAAUGCCCUACGGCUGCUAUGCGGCGCCCUCCAUCAAGAGACCGAAGUCUCCAGCCCUUCGUUCCUUUUUUCCUUUUCCAAUGCUGUCUUCUGCAAAUUACCAAAAAGGGUCCCCAUCUUCUUGUUCCAAAAAUGCCCCUGGAUGCCUGCUAUUCGAGCUCUUUCCUGAUGAUUGUUAAAUUGGCACUUAUUAUGGUGUUUUCGAUCAACUCCCUAAAAUAAAUGUGAAUUGUCAAAAGUGAGUAGAAUCUAAUAAUUAAUCUACGUCAGGUCAGGUAAUAGGGGAAAUUAAUAAUAAAAUAAAUGACAAAAUUGCAACCUAUCAAUUCUCCCCACACAUAAACCAUGCUUGUCUUAAGCAUAAGAACAGUCAACAAACAGUAAUAUUUGAUAAUAGUUAUUGCUCUAUCUACCAUAUUGCCAAGAUACCAAGAAAAAUCAUAUAUCAAGCAUCAGUGAUCAAAAUCCGAGAAACAUCACCCGGAUUAGCUUCUAAACCACAAAUUCCUUCAAUUCCAGGUUAACUAAUCUAAGAAAAGGGAAUGACGCAUAACAUUUAACAGCAAAUGGUCCAACUAUUAACCAAAAUCUCAACAUUAAAUCCAUAAAUCGACAAACUGACUUUUAUUAUACACUAACACAACCUUCACUUUUUUAUCACACUUUUCUAUUUUUUUUCUCUUUUUUUUAAAAAUAGGAACAAAAGACUUAGUCACUAGCCAUCGAAACCUUUUGACGUGAGUUCCGACAUUUGUCAGAUGAAAAAGCCGCGAUUACUCAACUCCUAUCGCCACGUGAUCACGCACUCAUAGCAAUUACUACCUUUGACGCGAGAAUCGACACUUUUGGUGAAGAUCCCCGGUUAUUCAGUAGUAACAACUAACGGAGUACAGCCAACUCUUAUUCACAGCCAAAUAACACAAAAACUCAAAAUAACACAAAAAUCAAAAGAAAAUUUGCAUCAGCUAGUCUCAUUUUCAAAUAUGGAGAACUAAAAUUAAUAACCGGACCAAUUCACAUGAAAAUGCCAACAAUCAUUCCCUAUGCCUAGGAAAGUUAAUCCAGAAUUAUAAAAGUCACACAGGCUUCAAUAUUCACCCAAGAGAUAUUUUUAGACUCAACCAUGUCCACUUGAUACAUUUUCAUUAGUAAAAUUGGCAAAAGUAGAAAUAGAGGCAACAAUCCAAUCUCAAACCUUGGCAUGCACAUACGAACUAAUCACUAAAAACAAAAAAGAAAAUGAAUGAAAGGUGGACAACUAACAAACUAAAAUAAAUGAAAAACAUCUAAAAACUCAAAACUAAAGACACUAGCACCAUAACUGCUCCCCCUACACCUAAAUCCGACAUUGUCCUUAAUGGAGGUAAUAAAGUAAUUAAAGCGAAGAGGGCAAUGAAACUUCCCUCUCGAGUGGCGAAGGGUAGGCGGGAAUGGUGGAGGGAAACCGAUGUGGUGGAAGUACGCACCCAAGUUCUGAGACAUCAUAAUUCAAUUCAACCAGCAAAUGCAAAGCUCUGUCCACCCAAAAUCUCAACAAAGUCUCCAAUUGGACAGUGAAUACCUCAACUCAAAAUCGACAAUUCCAACAAUAGCAGAUCAAAAUUCGGACAAGAACAAAACAGGGCAACUACCGCAACCAGUGCCACUGGUGAAAGCACAAGUAGGAAACAAUUCAAACAGUCAAUCCAAAUCACUUGAUAAAUCCAAACACACCGAUCAGUACCGAAAAUUAGAAGAAAUCAAAAUGAGAAUCAAUUGGCAAUCGAUGCCCAAAUCACCCCCCAAAUACUCCCAAACAAAUGAACUGCCAAAGGCAAUGGCAACGACCAACCCAAAAAUGCUAUAGAAACCUCAAACAAAGCACAAGUGAAAAACAGCUAGUCACCUUCUGCUAUUAUGCACCAAGGAACCCAAGAAAAUGGGAACAAAAUCCAGCAAUUUGAGACCAGAAAAAGAUUAACGAGGGAGAAAUUUCAAUACCUCCACCUGUCAAAGAUGGAUAGGUGGUGAGACGAGCAAGGCUACUGGUGGAGGCGUGCGAGAGGUGGAGUGUGUGCAGUGCUGGUGCGAUGGCGGCGCGGCUUGCGUCCUCAGCAGCAGUGGUGGCGCGACAAUUGGAGGCGGCUGGCACGGUCUCGAUGAAGGAAGGGACAUCAAGGAGAGAGAGCGACGAGAGGAGACGCGCGUCGCCUGGGCUUCAGGCACCGAUAGCGCAGCGCUGCGUGAGAAGAAGACGGCGGCGAGCAAGGGAAAAAGAGAGCUGCGAGGAAAGAGAGAGAGAGUGAGGUGUGGGAGAGAGAUUGGAGCUGCGGACACCAGGAGAGAGAGGAGAGUAGGGCGCACGGUGGUGAUGAGAGUGCAAGGCGGCGAGGACGACGGCGCGGCUACGGAUCGAAAAAGCGGUGUGUGCGGAGUUUCGGUCAAACAGGAGGAAGAAACAAGGGAGAAAAAAGAAAGAAAAGAGGAAGAAAGAAAGAAAGGUAAGAAAAGAAGAAAAGAAAAGAAAGAAAAAAAACAAAAUAGUUUUUGGUUUUUUUUUUUAGAAUGUUGAUUUUCAAAAUUUGUAGUUACGGCUAAAUAGGAAAAAAGAUUUUUUUAAAAUUUUUUUAAUUAUUAUUAUUUCUAGACAAAAUAUAUUACUUCAAAAUUUGAGAUUAAAAGGAAAUCAAAAUUUUCUGAAGUUUUGAAUGCCCAUCUUUCCCGCGAACAUAACGCGGGCACGUCAUGAAAACACGAAGUGAAGAGUUUUCCAGGUGACUUGACGCGGGUACGUCAUGAGGGUUAGAUCCCUUCUGAUGAUGAACUCUCCAGAUGACUUGACGCGGGCACGUCAAGGGGAUCGAAACCGUUUUUACUAAGCACUAGGAAGUCGCAAUGUGCCACACGCCCAGUUGACGCGGGCGCGCCAUGUUAGAUAGAUACCUACGAAUCAUCAAAAACGAAAAUUGAAACCAGAAAUCAGUCAAACUCAAGAAAAGCAUAUUUAAACAAACAAAAAAAAAUAACAAACAACUAAAAAAAAUGGGGUUGCCUCACAAUGAGCGCCUUUUUUUUAAUGUGUUUGGCUAGAUAUUGAACACCACUCUUCAAUCUAGGUGUAACUCAAUUUUCCUUGUAAUCGGUGACCCUUCUCUAGGAUCCAAAUAGCUUUUGAGUGCAGCAUUCUUUCUUAAUUUCUUAUUCCUUUUCACCUCAUACAUUGCUUUCAUCCCCUUAUACUUGUUCUCAGUAAAUUUGAAUUUGCCCCUACAAGCAAACUCAGAAAAUUCUUGCACAGAAGGAUUAAUAGCAUGAAUAGCAAAUAUAGAGUGAGAAUUAGCAGGAUGUUCCAUUGUAUAAAAAAAAUUAAAGUGGACUGGUUCUCCAUCAAAUUUCAUGGACAAUGUACCCUUAUUAACGUCAAUUUUUAUCUGUGCUGUGCUAAAAAAGGGUCUACCUAAUAGUAAGGUGAGAGGUCAGGGGAAUAAUCAUCAUCAGUGUCAAAUACAUAAAAGUCAGUUGGAAAUACCAAUUCAUUAACUUUAACUAGCACAUCCUCGAUCAACCCAUUAGAAUAUGCAUUUGUUCGGUCAGCUAAUUAAAUUAUUAUCUCGAUUUCUUUUAAUGGACCGAGGUUCAAAGAAGCAUACAUAGAUUUAGGCAUUACGUUGAUCGAUACUCCCAAGUCCAGCAGGAUAUUCCUAAUCAAAAUAUUACCUAUCCUACAUGGGACAGUAAACUUACCUGAAUCCCCGUAUUUCGGUGGGAGCUUCGUCUGCAAAACUGCGGACACAUUCUCCUCCACGAUGACUCUUUCAUCUCCCCUCAGCAUCCUUCGAUUGAUGCACAGAUCUCUCAAAAACUUUGCAUACUUCAGCACUUGUUUGAUGGCGUCUAAUAGGGGAAUAUUGAUCUCCACCUUAUGGAGCACCUCCAAGAUCUCCUUCUCCUUAUCUUGCUUUCUCGAUUUCUCUAACUUAUUAGGAAAGGGAGGCGGGUUAGUUUUUACUGUAAUGGCUGGGUCUGGGAGUACCUUUGGAUCUGUGCCAUUGCUGUCCUCCUUCUCUAGUUCGUUUUCGAUUUUUUUCUCAUCAUUGUCCUUUGAAAUAGUGAGGUCAGGUCCCUGAAUUUUCUUCCCGCUCCUUAAAGUCAUCACACUUACGUUUUUCAGGUUCAAUUCAUGUUGAGACGGCAAUUUUCCAUAAACUUGGGAUUCCAGCCGAUUGAUUGCCACUACCAUCUGAUUCAUCUGAUUUUGCAUUAUUUGUACCUGUCCCAAUUGAUUUCUUAUGUUCUGCAGUUCGGAGUCUGUCUUUUGCUAAUGUUGCGCGAUGGUAGCUAUUAGUUGUUUCAUCAUUUCCUCCAAAGAUGGACUAGAACUCGGUGGCGGAGGUGGUCGAGGUUGGUACUGCUGCUGGUACCCUUGUUGUCUAUUUGGCACAAAGUUAGUCUGUCUGUUCCCUCCAUAGCUGAGGUUGGAAUGGUCCCUCCAACCAGGGUUGUAAGUACUUGAAUAUGGGUCAUAAGGCUUUCUUGGCGUGGGCACAUGACCCGUCAUGUUCACUUGCUCCGUACUUUCGUCUUGAAUCAUCGGGCACAUAUCUGUAGAGUGACCAUUACCAGUGCAAAACCCACACACCUUGGCCUGUGAUACAUUUCCUACAGCCAGUUGUCUAACAAAAGAAGUCAACUCAGUCAACUGCUGCUGGAUAGAUGUUGUCUCUACCUCAUUCACCUUGCGUAUCGGGACAUCCUCCAUCGUACUAAAUUGCUGGGAAUUCUCCGCCAUUCCUUCAAUUAGCUCCCACACUGCUCGAAGGGUCUUGUUCACCAAUGCCUCUCCACUCGCAGCAUCAAUGAUACUCCUGUCUCUGAAGAGUAGCCUCUCGUAAAAAUAUUAUAUGACCAACUGCUCACUUAUUUGGUGUUGGGGCACUUGAUGCACAACUUCUUGAAUCGUUCCCAGUAGUUGUAGAACGACUCCCCUGGGUGCUGUUUGAUACCACAAAUCUGCUUUCUUAGACUUGCAGCUCGAGACGGGGAAAAAUACUUGUCUAAGAACAUUUCUUUAGCUGGUCCCACGUGGUGAUACCACCUAGUGGUAGGUAGUAUAGUCAGUCUUUUGCAGAGUCCUUCAAGGAAAAGGGGAAUGCUCUCAUUUUUCUAUGAUUCCCGGCGACUUCAUACUGUUGCACACGAUAUCAAACUCUUGUAGGUGCUUGUAAGGUUCCUCACCUGAUAAACCAUGGAAGAAUGGCAAAAGAUGAAUUAGCCUAGAUUUUAGUUCAAAUGGAAUGUUAUCAUUUAAACUUGGAAAAGCAAUGUAUAAAGGUUGCUGGGUUAAAUCAGGGGCAGUCAACUCCCUUAGCGUUCGUACAUUCGCCAUGGUGACUUUCUCUUGGUCCGAGUCACUCGAAGUGUCGUUAAACGAGUCUGUUGGUUCAACUUCUGAUUCAGGCCUUUGAGAUGCAGCACUGGGGUGCUUCUCUCUGAGUUGUCUAGUCUCUUUUCUUGUUCUACGCGCAAUCUUCUCUACCUCGAGGUCGAAAAUUAAUUCACCUGUACGAGAAAAACGAGACAUACAAUCAAAAAGCACCAGAAAAUUAGAACAAAAAUGGAUUUAAAAAGAAACAAAUAACUGACACCAAUCCCCGGCAACGGUGCCAAAAAUUGACAGGUUGUCGAUGCCUGUGCAAUAAUAAAUUAAACCAAAUUGCCAGUUAAAGUAACCAAAACUCGAUUCCAAAUAUUGGAGUAAGGACUCUAGGUGUGCAAUGGGUUACUUGAUUCACCCUACUCUCGAAGAGUUUGCUUGAUCUGAUAUACCCGAAUGGGAUGACUUUUUUCACAAAUAAUUAUGAAUUUGUAGAUAGGGCAAGUACGGUCGUAUCCUUAGGGAUUGGGGAUAUUUGUCUCUUUAGAAAUCCAAAGUAACACAGGGGCAUUUUUGAAUAAACGAUAACAAUCAAAGAAAUUCAAAUAAAAAUAAAAAUAAAUAGUUAGUUAGAUAUUAAAUGACAAUUCACUAAAAUUAGAGUAACAAUAAGUAAAGGUCUAGCCAAGAAAUAACUUCAGUAAUGGUUCACUUAAUUGAUCAUCGAUGCUCAAGCAAUUCCAAUUAUUUAUUAUAUAUAGGUUAUAACUGCCAAACAAGUGAUGACAGUCAACCCCUCCUUACUAUGUCGGUGAUUAAGGUACACCCGUUAAUCACUGCUCUAAUGAGAAAUAAUCUUAUGUACACCCAUAAGAUUUAAUUCCCCAAUUGCCUUACGUAUUAAAGGAGUCCUAUUCUAGCCAAAUAACGCAUAACCAGGGUUAUUUCAGAUUAGCCGCCAUAUCCCCUAACACAAACCUAAUCGUGCCAGUUGUCACUAUUUCAAGACAAUUAAAUAAUUACGGAUUUAAAUGCCCAAUUGACAAUAGAUUACCCAAUUAACUAAUUAUCCGGAUCCAAAAAAUCAAUUAAUUGAACAAUCGUUAGCACUGUAAUCAAAGAAUAUGCAGAUACCAAUAAAUAAGAGAAAAAGAUAAAAAUUAAAUUAAUCUCACAAUUUUUAGGCGAACCAAAACUUCUGUUGUUUCUCGACUAGAAAAGGGGAUUUAAUUUAUCCCGGAUGCGAAAGACCCACACAAAGUUGAAGGGACAAUCGCAGACAUUGUCUCCAGUUUCGAUGAUUCAAUUCGUUCGAAUUGGGAAAGAAAAGCCAAGACUACAAAGUAUGACCCAUUGUUUUCCUUGGUCUAGACAUCCACAGGAAGAAAAUCACAAGAAGACAAAAAAGGAAAAGUCCAAAAGCUAAAACUAAAAGUAGUGCUUCCUCUGCUCCUAAUUCUAAUUGCUACUCUAAUGCCCUACGGCUGCGGUGCGGCGCCCCCAUCAAGAGACGAAGACUCCAGCCCUUCGUUUUUUUUUCCUUUUCCAAUGCUGUCUUCCUCAAAUUACCAAAAGGGUCCGCAUCUUCUUGUUCCAAAAAUGCCCCUGGAUGCCUGCUACUCGAGUUCUUUCCUGAUAAUUGCUAAAUUGGCACUUGUUAUGGUGUUUUCGAUCAACUCCCUGAAAUAAAUACGAAUUGUCAAAAGUGAAUAUAAUCUAAUAAUUAAUCCACGUCAGGUCAGGUAAUUGGAGAAAUAAUAAUAAAAUAAAUGAUAAAAUUGCAACCUAUCACUGCCAAACGAAUAUAUCUCUCCCAGCAUGCUUCAUCCCUUAUUUAUAUACCCUGUACCUCUAGUAUCAAAGCAUUCUGCAACCAUGAUUUUUGUUUUUUUUUUCCAAAAUUUAUCAACCUUAUAACUGAUCCCAGGGAGAUUCUAGAAACUGGCGUGGCCAACAUGUUAGAUCAAGAGAAGAAGGGCUAAGGCCAUCAACAGUACUAUCUUUAAAUUUUGCUAAAAACAAUUACAGAAAAAGGAAUUGUCUCCAUCCUGUAAAAUACCAAAAAUUUUAUGUACCAAAAAUUUAGGGAUCCAUCCCAAUGGCUGCAUCACAAAAAGAAUGCUAAAGAAAAGCAUUUCUUCCAAUAGCUCAUGACCCUCAGAAACCAAAUAUAACUAACAAUAGAUUCUUUAUUGCCCUAUAAAGGUUAUCAAGCUAUAAAGGAGUCAACAUAAAAAAAUAGAAACAAAAAAGAACUCAAGUCAUCGAAGAUUUUAAAAAAAAUAACUGCCAGUAAAGCAUAUCUAGCACUACCGUUUAGAUUACUGUUAUAGUUUCCCUAAAUCCUUUACCCCAAAUCUUCUCUCUUCUGUCUGAACAUGUUACUGUCAGUGCCUAGACCGUACAAUGUCAUAUUGAGUCUAUGUAUCUGGGCGAUUUUGAAUUUUUCAAAACUAGGGUACUGGUAAAUGGCCAAAGAUCUAGAAUUGGCUAAAGGGCGUCUAUCUUGUAUCCCAUCUGUAAGUACCAUAUUAAAUACAACUUAAAUUAUGAAAUGGCUCAUACUUAAAAGAAAUUUCUAAAUGAUCCAAACCAAAAAAAAAAAAGACAAGAAAAUUAUCUUAAAAUAAAGAAGAAGAAAAUCUGGGGCAAAAAUGAUUGCACAACCAGUUUCUAAAUGUAUAAAGCUUUAGUGACAAAUUAUAAUUCAUCGUAUUCAAGACACAAGUUAUAUAAUUUCGUAACAAUGACAUGAAAUAAUAAAAUUGUUCACAAUUAAAAGUAUGUGUUAUGUUAUUGUUAUAUAACAUUAUCUGAAUCCUACUUCUCGAAAUUUAUUUUGUUGGCAAAAUUUAAACUGUUAUGAUCGAUCAAAAGGAAAAAAAGAGAAAUUAAAGUACAUGGUUGAGAUCUUCUCUCUCUCUCUCUCUCUCUCUCUCUCUCUUUCUCUCUCUCUGGGGAUAUUCCAACCACGUGCAAUGUAGUUUGCUAAUGAAAUUUCCUCUGGCGGAGAAAAACAAAAUUGAUGCCAUGAGAGGCUUUAACAAAAUGACAACCACUUAAGAAAAACCCUAACCGCUAAUCUAUUUGUCAUGCAUGCAAACGAAAAUCUCCACUUAUUUUUGUGUCCAUGUUAAGUUGGUUGACUUGGCUGUCAUUCAGUAACAAAAUCAGUGACGUUUCUAUAAGGACUCCAUUUAAAAUGUAGUUCCAUCCAGUUAAAAUGUUGUUCUCGAAUUUGGCAAGCUUCACAGUUAAGUUUCAAACUGAGAUUAGCAAUUAUGCAGAUAUAUAGCCUUCUAAAGAGAUCCAAAUUCACUAUUAAUGCCUUUUAUAAACUUGUGAAUCGCGAAAAGCCUGUUAGCUAGGGAUAUUUCAUGCUUGCACCUGAUAGCAGAGUUUUAAGAGGAAAAUGAAUUAAAAACUUUACUAAGGAGUUUUUAACGCUUUUUAUUCUUUUUCUCUUGGUAUCUUUCCUUUUCCUUCUCCUCCUCACCUUUGAUGAAGUACUCAUGAAGUGUAAAGAGAAAACUUAGGGAUGCAAUUUUCUGGGAUUUUUUAAUAUCUUGAUGGCAUUACUCCUUCAGUUGGAUCUCAUAAUUCAGAAAUUUAAUCUCCUGUCACAGCAUGAUCCAUUCAAGUUGCUAAAAAACAAAUAGAAGCAACAAAUUAUUGCUCCAUGACACAUGAAAAAUUAUCUUCAUAAAACUUGAUUCAUUUUGGUGUCAUUGCAGGUAACGAUGCUAGGAUUGAGCCACAUAUUAAUCUUAACGUCUAUAUAUGUCAUAAACUUCUUCUCCUUAAUCUAUGUAGCAAGAUAAAACACUUAGGCCAAAGUUACAUCUUCUAUUCCGGCUCCAAAACUCACUAUCUAUUUAUAUCCUUUCAACUAGAUUCGUCCAUAUUUGCUUCUGUUUCAAUCGGUUGAACCGACCUGUGUGGUUCAAUUUGUCAAAAAAUGAGUUUGGUUGAGAUGAUUGAACAAUUACAAAGAAACUUACUAUUUGUGGGUCCAAUUACACAAGAAACUUAAAAUUGUGGUCCAAUUUGUCAAAAAAAUGUUUGGUUGAGAUGAUUGUACAUUACGCAAGAAACUUAAAAUUUGUGGGUCCAAUUACACAAGAAACUUAAAAUUGUGGGUCUAAUUUGUCAAAAAAAUGAGUCUGGUUGAGAUGAUUGAACAAUUACACAAGAAACUUAAAAUUUGUGGGUCCAACGUACCAAUGGAGCAGAAGGAAUUGUACUCUUAAAUCUCAGUACAUGCUAGUUCAAUCAUAGAUAUAGUUAAAAUCUCUUAGGUGCUAUUUUCCCCUCACACUUUAUUACCGGGCAUCCUGCACCUUUCACUAAUGUCUCCUCUCACACAUCAUGUCUUUAAGUUGAAAUAGUAUCAACCUUUCAUUCGACGGACAACAUUGCAUUCAAGGUUCUAGUGGGAGGAGUUGCCAUUGCUACGCUCCGAUAACAAUACUGGGUAGGGAUGGCAACGGGACAGGGGAUCCCUCUCCUGUAAAAAUAAAAUAAAAUCUGUUAAGUGUUAUUUCCCCCUCACACAUUAGAACUAGGCAUCCUGCACCUUUCACAAUUGUCUCCUCCUCACAUAUCGAGUCUUUAAGUUGGAAUAGUAUCAACCUUUCAUUCGACGGACAACAUUGCAUUUAAGUGUCUAGUGGGAAGAGUUGCCAUUACUAUGCUCCGAUAACAAUGCUGGGUAGGGAAGGCAAUGGGAUGGGAGAUCCCUCUCCCGUCUCCUGUCCUGGUGUCAAAUAUCUCCCCAUACACCCACUCCAUCCUUUGCCCCUGCCCUUACCCCGCCUAGCUCCUCUCAGGGAGUUUGCAGGGGAAUGAUGAAAAUUUGAUCCUGUAGUUAUUUGCUUCCAUAAUAACUAACAAAAAUUCAACAUAUCAACCCAUGGGGGGAUGGGUAUCCCUUAUUGCCAUCACUAGUGUUACAUAUUAUUGGGCCUUUUAUCACAAAAACUAUCUCAAAAGUUAAAGUUUUCCCUCACACAUAUAACCAAAUAUCCUUUCCUUCCACAGUUGAUGCAGAAUAAACUGAAAAUUCCCCAUUCACAUCAGGCCCGAGGUUGGAAUAGCAUCAACCUUUCAUUCAAUGGGUGCAAGUUGGGAAAACACCAACCUUUCAUCUGACAAGCAACAUUUCAUUCAAGUGUUUAAAUUGAUUAAUUUUUCAUUUGAAGAUGAAAUUGGUCAGCAAUUGACAGUUUAAAUACUAAAUGUGUCAUGUUAAAAAGUUUGAGAACGAAAUGUAACUAUGACCUAAAGUAUAGGGACAUUUUCCUGCAUUUUACUCUUUUCUAUCAAUAUGUUAAGUUAUAAGACGCUCUGGAUGAAGAUAGAAAACGUUUCUUUGAAAACUUCCAUUUAGGAGAUACUUAGAAUACGAGUUUAUGGGAUCCUUUAUACCUUCAUUAAUUGCAUUAGUACUAUUUCGUGUUGGACUCAAUAGCUCAGAAAUCUAUAUUAUCUCCUGCUACAAGAUGAUUGGUUGAAGUUUGCUAAAUACAAAGUGUAUAGGAUCAAUAAUUUGUUGCUCUAUGAGUAUAAGAUUAAUUAUUAAGGCCCUAAAACUUACUUGUAUUUUGGUGUUAUUCCAAGAAAAGAGGUCAGCAUUGAACCACGUAUUGAUCUUUAAGGUCUAUACCUUUGAUGAUCUUCUCUUUUCUAGUCUACAUAAGCUAGAUUGAUUACAUACUAUUUGGAGAAAAAUUUACCAUCCCGAGGUUAAAACUGAGACAUUUCCCUUUAUGGCUUCAGGGAUACAUACUUGGACAUCCAGCGACUAAAGUUCAAGGAAUUCUUAACUAUCUAGUCCCGUUUGCUUAUAGGAUGGGCCUGAUUUCUGAUGAGCGCUAUGUGGAAUUCUGAUGUACUAUGGGAGGGACGUGGGGGGAGGGAGAGGAGAGGGAGGAGGGGCGGAAGAGGAGGUUGCAGGCUGGUGAUGUCGGCAAGCUGGUGGCGGGUUGAGGCGGGGGAGAAGGAAGAAAAUGAUGGAAAAAUGUGAAAAAUUUGUUUGUUUUUAGAUAUUAAGGGACGUGUAUAUUAAAUAUUUUGAGAUAUUUAUAGAGGAUUACUGUAAACAAAAAUAGUAAAAAAAUAAUUGUCUAUUAAAAAUUAGACUAAAAACCAUGUGAAAAUAAGCUAAUAAUCCAUACUUAAUUAAUAAUUUUUUAUUUAAUUAAUUGAACUCCGUUGCUCCAGUCAUUGUCAUGCCAAACCAAAUUGAUCCGUUGCUCCAGUCGAGCCUAGGGCUACAAAUGAAUCGAGCCGCUCGCGAGCGGCUCAAAUCAAGCUCGAGCUCGCGCCGGCUCGAGUCGAACUCGAGGUCAGAAUAUUAAAAUCGUUAGCGAGCUUGAGUAUAUAUAUUUUUAUUUUUAUUUAAUAAUAAAAUUAUGUAUAUUACAUAUAUUUUUUUAUUUUUUAUUUUCAUAUUAAAAUUACGUAUAUAUUCUUAAUAUUUUAUUAUUUAUUAAGAAAAAAAUAUUAUUUUAUUUAUUUUUUUAAAAAAAAAUAAUUAUUUUUUAUUUUUUUCGAGCUCGAGCUCGAGCUCGAAAAUUGCCGGCUUGUCGAGCUCGAACUCGAGCUUGGUAAAAUUUAGUCGAGACUCGACUCGAUUACCUCAAAACUCGACUCGACUCGGCUCUUUUGCAGCCCUAGUCGAGCCCACCAUUUUUUCAACAUUACACGCAUUUAUUCUAAUGAUGCGUGUAAUGACUCAUUACAAGGCCGUGUCAUGGGAGGUAUACCGGAGAUGCUCGUAUAUAGAGUUCGCCGAAGAACUCUAUCCAAGUGUCUGGAGUCUAAAGUUGCUCUGCCUAGUGCCCAAAACGAGAGAUAGGCCAAGCUCUAUGGAGAAGUUGCAGGUGCUCCUAAGGCAUCCUAUCUUCUGCAACCUGUUCUUACUGCUAGUUUAUGUUCAAGCAUGUUCAAACCUUGCUAUUGCUGGUUCCAUAGUUAAGUUUCUUCCAGGAUUUGAAGGACCCCUCCCCUUUGAACUCGAAACCGGGUGAGCCACUAAGUAUAACAUAUAUAUAUAUAUAUAUAACACUAGAAAUUAACAUUGAUCAAAACUUAGAAGAAAUAGUUGAUCCAUUUUUUGAUAUUAUCAGGUAUAUUAGUUGGUGAAUCAGAGGAUGUGCAGCUCUGCUACGCUUUUAUCAAGUCAGAGUCAAAUCCUCAAUCGGAUCCUCUUAUCAUUUGGUUAGAUGGAGGCCCUGGCUGCAAUUCAUUUAUUCCACUUUUCUUUGGGAUAGGUGAAUUCUAAUGCCUUACACUUUGCAGUAGGUGUCACCAAAAAAAAAAAGAACAAUUGCCGCACUAUUUUGAUCUUGAUUGCGUAUAAUCUUGAAACUCUGCAAACAGCAUUUCUGGUUGAAACUCUGCAAAAAAGAGAAAAGACGUUGUCUGGUUGAGGAAGCUUUAUGUAAGGACUUUUGUUUUGUUUUGUUUUUUUGGGUAAAAGUAUUAAUUUUAUUGAAUAGCAUCCAUUUGUCGCCAGUAGCAACUGCUACAAACAUCUGUACAAUAACUAACUACACGUUCACAUCAAAUUAAAAAGCCCAAAAUAUACAAUAAAGCUUUUGAAAAAUGUUCCUAAAAACAGCUAAUUCAAAUGGAGCCAUAAUCUUUAUUUGUCUUUAAAGUUCAAGUGAUGAUGACUGAUAGACUGGAGUGCCAGCAUUUGAUCAAGUCACUGGCCGUGAUUUUCUGUUGCAGGACCAGUAAUUUUGGAGCCAUUGUCGUUCGACGGCACUCUGCCCAAAUUGGUAUUAAAUCCCUCUACUUGGACCAAGGUAAACUCAAGAAUUGAGUUUCUCUUUUCUUUUCUUUUAUUUUCUUGCGAGAGAAAAAGAGAUUUAAGUUGAUGAGUAUAUCUUAGACUCAUAGAACUGUUACAUGAAAAGGUUAUUGAGAUACAUAUAUAAAUAAGGUUCCAAAUUUUUUCUUUUUUCUUUUUUUUUUGAAAUAAUGUUCAAAUAAUCUUUAUCCAAACAAACCUAAUUUUCAAGAUUAAGAAUUCGAGUAGACUGCAAGAUUGAGAAUCAUUUCUUGUUACUUGUUAGGUUGUAAGCAUCAUCUUUCUGGAUUCGCCAGUUGGAACGGGUUUUUCUUAUGCUAAGACUGCAAAAGCUUCUCAAUCUUCAGAUUUUCAAGCCUCUGAUCAAGCUUAUGAAUUUAUCAGGAAGGUACAGGCCCAUCACUCAGCUAAUUAAUGAAUCGUAAGGCUUCAUGGAACGUUGGACAAUUACUAAUUAGGAAAAUGCCAUAUUUGUCUCUAGACCCUUUAUUAUGCAAAAAGACAAGUGUACUAUCAUUUAAUUAUUUUCCUUCAGAAUAGUGGAAUCCUGCAUGGCUCUACCCAAAAUUGCCUCCAUUGGAUUCAAGUUCUCUAUGAACACAGUUUUGAUUGUAUAGAACAGUUGACAGUGGAAGAUGAAUAAAAGUUACAUCAAUAAUAAUUGGAUAUAGUAGUUUCGACAGUUAGCGUCAUGGAAGCCAUAGUAGAGGAGGAGGUCUGUUGCAUGGGGAAAGAUCCCAAAGUCUCAUGAAAUGUGGCAAUCUCUAGAAUGGAAUAUCCCACUCACAGUGUUUAGUUAGUGCAAUGUUCUGGUAUGGCCUCCUAUGAUAAUUAGUUUAACAUGUAUACUGAGAUAUUCCAUCUCUUGUACAAACUUGUUCCAUAUCAAUGAACUUACAGUUUUACCUUGAAAAGAUAGUGGAAGAUGACUAAUUUUGAAUUUGAUGCUUACAAUUCAAUUUUGGGUACAUAUUUCAAUAAGCGAGGCAAUUUAUUGUUUUUAUGCAUGUUGUUGUAUUUUAAUGUCUACAAUUGGUUUGCGAGUGCCUAUAGUACACAGUGCAAUUGCGAAUGCCAAUUAUAGAGGCUUGGUUGGGCGAUAUUUGUUGCGUUUUUACCCAUUUGAACCUCGAGUUAAAAGCUUAAUUUCCUUUGAAAUGGGAAAGAAAUUAUAGUUAAAAAGAUGUUUACCUUUCACAAGAUUGGUUUUGAUAGUUGAUUAUAUUGCAGUGGCUACAUGAUCACCCAGAGUACAAGUCGAAUCCAUUCUAUGUUAGUGGAAUCUUGUAUGGGGGCAUUCCUGUUCCAAUAUUAACUCAACUUAUAUCAAAUGGUAAGAUUUUUUCAAUGUGGCUCUUUACCCUUGGGAAGUUUUUCGAUUGUGUUACAAUUUGGUUAUUGAAAUUGUUAUGCAGAGAUACAUAGGCAUUGUAAGAGAUCUGAAUAUACUAUAAAUGCUUUCUGUAAGCUUGUAGUAUAUGCGAAGUCUCUUUAGGUAGGAAUAUAGUUGUCACCUUAAGCUAAAUGGGUUUUAUUAACAUAAUGCAGAGCUUUAAAGGGGGGAAAAGGGUUGUUCCCUCAGAAAUUUGCAGGCUUUUUAUUCUUUUCUGUCCAUAUGUUAAGUUAUAAGACGCUCCAGAACAAAGCAAGAAAACGUUCCUUUGACCAGUUCAGAUUUCUACAUUAUCUCCUGCUACAAGAUGAUCAGUUGAAGUUUGCUAGAUACAGAGAGUAUAGGAUCAAUACUUUGUUGCUCUAUGACUAUUGUUAACAGGUAUUUUGGGAGGAAAACAUCUAGUCACCGUAUUAUGGGUGACCAACUAGUAUUUAUAAGAGUACAAACCUAAUAAACUAUUUACAAGAAUACCCUUACUAAUUUAUUAUCUACAAGAAUACUUAUAUUCUCUUAACAUUCCCCCUCAAGUUGGAACAUAUAUAUCAUAAGCACCCAACUUGUUACAAAUGUAUUUCACCCUAGAGUCUCCUAAACUCUUGGUAAUCACAUCAGUCAAUUGAUCUACAGACGGUACAUGAGAUGUCUUGAUGACCCCGUCAAGCAAUUUCUCUCGAAUGAAAUGACAAUCAACUUCAAUAUGUUUUGUCCUUUCAUGAAACAUUGGAUUAGAUGCAAUAUGAACAGCCGCCUGAUUAUCACACACUAAAUUCAUAGGCUGUUUAUGCUCAAACCCAAGUUCCAGUAACAUGCUUUUCAACCAAACCAACUCACACACAGUGUGAGCCAUAGCGUGGUAUUCAGAUUCUGCACUUGAUCAGGAUACAACUGUUUGCUUCUUACUCUUCCACGACACUAAAUUACCACCAACAAACACACAAUAUCCUGUAGUCGAUCUUCGAUUUGAGGCAGAACCAGCCCAAUCUGCAUCACUAUAUCCUUCAAUAUCAAUGUGCCCAUGAUUUUGAUACAACAACUCUUUUCCAGGAGCACUCUUAAGAUACCUGAGAAUCUGUAUAACAGCAUCCCAAUGACUAGUAUGAGGGGUAUCAAGAAAUUGACUCACAACACUCACUGCAAAUGAAAUGUCAGGUCUCAUUACAGUGAAAUAAUUUAAUUUACCCACAAGUUUUUGAUAUUGCUUAGGAUCAUCAAGUAAUGCACCUUGAUCUCCUGCUAAUUUCACAUUGAGAUCCAUAGGAGUAUCCACAGGUCGGUAAUCUAACAUCCCAACUUCACUCAACAUAUCAAGUACAUAUUUUUUUGACAUAAAUAAAUCCCAUAUUUAGACCGAACUACCAAUACCCAGAAAAUACUGUAGAUGACCUAAAUCUUUUGUUUGAAAGUUUGCCUGCAGAUUGGAUUUAAGUUUCUGGAUCCCCACAAUAUCAUCACAUGUAAUCACAAUGUCAUCCACAUAAACAACUAAUAAAAUUUUACAAGCAUUAGAAUGUCGAUAAAAUACAGAGUGAUCUACUCCACAUCUUGUCAGACUGAACUCCAUGACAACACUACUAAACUGGCUAAACCAAGCCCUCGGAGACUGUUUCAAUUCAUAUAAGGAUUUUUUCAAACGACAAACCAACCGCAGAUUCUCCCCCUGAACAAUAAAUCCAGGAGAUUGUUCCAUAUAUACCUCUUCUUUCAAAUCUCCAUGCAGAAAUACAUUUUUCACAUCCAACUGAUGCAAUGGCCAAUUAUAAGUUGCUGCCAAAGAGAUAAGAAGACGAACAGAGGUAAUCUUUGCAACAGGAGAAAAUGUUUCUAAAUAAUCUAUUCCAUACACCUGAAUAAAUCCUCUAACUACCAGCCGAGCCUUCAAUCUAUCAAUAGAACCAUUAGGCUGCACUUUUAUAGUGUACACCCAUUUACAACCAACAACAGGCUUACCUGAAGGACGAGGGACAAGAUCCCAAGUACUAUUUUGUUCCAAAGCAGAUAUCUCUUCUUGCAUAACUAAUCUCUAACCAGGAUGAUUAAGAGCAUAGGUAAUAGACUUAGGAAUGGAGAUAGAAUCAAGGGAAGCAACAAAAGAAGAAUAUGACAUAGAGAGACGAGAAUAAGAAAUAAAAUUAGAAAUAGGAUGGGAAGUACAAUGUCUCUUACCUUUGCGUAAACCAACAGGAAGAUCUAACUCAGAGGAGGGCGCCAUACCUGGAUUUGAAAAUUGAGAGUUAAUUGGUGAAGUGCGAGGCAUAUCAGGAACUUUCUCAACAUGAAACGACGAGAGUAAACUUGAAGAUGAGGACGAGAUAAUCGAGUUAUGGAAUCUGGUGGACUAGAUAACUCAGGUAAUAAAGGGGAAGGGACAAGUAAAACAGAAGAGGAAAAAGAGGGACACUGAUCUAACUCACAAGACAUACUUUGUUUGAUAAAAUACGGAGUGAAUUCAAAGAAAGUAACAUCAGCACAAGUAAAAAUCGAUUUAAAACUGAACUUUAACAUCUAUACCCUUUUCGCGCUCGUGCAUAUCUUAAGAAAAUACACUUAAUAGCACGAUAAUCUAAUUUAUCCAUCCCGGGAGCAAGUUGAUGAACAAAGCACACACAUCCAAAAAUACGAUGAGGCAAUUUAAACACAAGUUCAUGAGGAAAAAGAAUGGAGUGAGGUAAUUGACUUCCAAAAAUAUUAAAUAGCAUGCGAUUAAUUAAAUAACAUGCAGUUAGAACUGCAUCACUCCAAAAUUGUUUGGGCACAUUCAUGUGCAACAACAGUGUUCGAGCAAUUUUGAUUAAAUGUCCAAUUUUUCUUUCAGCAACUCCAUUCUGUUGUGGAGUGUGAGGACAAGAGAACUGAUGAAUACUACCAGACUUAGUCAUAAAGGUAUUAAAAGGGUGAAAAAAUAUUCUUUCACAUUAUCACUGCGAAGUAUACGUACAGGCACACCAAAUUGAUUCUUUAUUUCUGUAACAAAUGCACAAAAAAUGGAAUAUAAUUCUGAACGAUCUUUCAUUAAAUAAAACCAUGUAACUCUGAAAAAAUCAUCAACAAAGACUACAAAAUAUUUAAAAUCUAACUUUGAAGUGACUCGACUAGAACCCCAAACAUCAGAAUGAACUAACAAAAAGGGUUCAAAAACCGGUUUAUUGACUUUAGGAGCAAAAGAAACACGAUAAUACUUUCCUAACUGACAAGACUCACAUUCUAACGAAAUAAUUGAUUCAAAGUAGGAACCAAUUUUUUCAAAUUUUGUAAAGACGGAUGACCUAAACGACAGUGAAUUUCAAGAGGAGAAACAGUAGCAGGACAUGCUAUCGGACCAUUGAAGUUGAGAGAGUAAAGACCAUUAUGCUCAUGCCCUCCACCAAUCGUCCUCUUUGUCUUCAAAUCCUGAAUGACAACAGAAUCGGGAGAAAAAGUAACUAUACACUGUAGAAAUUUAGUGAGCUUACUAACAGACAUUAGAUUAAAUGGCAAAUUGAGUACAUAAAGAACAGAAGACAGCGGAAGUGAUGGAUUAAUUUCUACAGUGCCUAGUCCUUUAACUUUAACUAUUAAUGCCCUAAAACUUACAUGUAUUUUGGUGGUAUUCCAGGAAAUGAGGACGGCAUUAAACCACGUGUUGAUCUUAAGGUCUAUACUUUUGAUGAUCUUCUCUUUUAUAGUCUACCAAAUCUUGAUUGACUACAUACUAUUUGGAGAAAAAUUUACCUUCUUGAGUUUAAAACUGAGACGGCUCCAUUUAUGACUUCAGGGAUACAUACUUGGAAAUCCAAUAAUGAAGGUUUCGGGAAUUCUGAACUAUAGGGUUCCGUUUGCUUAUGGGAUGGGGCUGAUUUCUGAUGAACUCUAUGAGGUAACUUAUUUCUUUUGUUUGUUACCUAUUGAUAUCUCAGAACACUGUCAUUUGUCGCAUGCAUUCUUACAAUGUAAAAUUAUCCGUGAUUUUCUACUUGACCUGUAUAUUUACAAUGCAGUCCUUGAAGGUUAGCUGUAAAGGGGAAUAUGAAAUCAUAGAUCCCAAUAAUGCAGCGUGUUCGAAAAAUAUGCAGGCAUACAAUAAGGCAAGCAACCAUAUCUAUGCAAUUUUUAUGUGACUAUUUUCAAAAAUUAGGCAAGGCCUAAUGGAUUUACUUAAAAUGUCCCCUAAACUCAAGAAAGAGGGGCAGAGUUAAGGAUUGUCAGUGUAGCCGUUUCUGAAUAGUGUAAUAUCAUUUGAACAAGCAGUAAUUCAUUGUAACUUACUCGUACAAUUUCGUAACAGAGUAGCAGUUAUUGUUAGGGGCUUGCACAAGCACUGAUCGAACAUCAUACUUCUGUUGCGAAAUUGUUGAAGGUAACAAUGAAUUACUCUAAUUUAUUCAAACAAUAACACACUUUCCAGAAAUGGUUGUACUGACAAUUGGUUCCUACCCCUUCCCUUUAAUUUGCGGGCUACAAAAGGUGGGAAGAAUCAGAAUAAAGGAACGGCAACCAGAGUGAUGGUGUUAAUAAUUUGCUUCUGCAGUUCGUUCGUAAUAUUGGCGAUCAACAGAUCUUGAUUGCCGUAUGUCCUUCCCUUUCACGAGAGCCAAAUAAAUUAUUUACUGGUGGGAGAUCCAUUAAACAAUUGUUGUAUAAGAAGUUUGAAGAGCUAGACAUUCGGGAAUCUACUCCAGUCAAAUGUCGAGUAAGAUACUACUAGUAUCGUUCUAUGUAAACUCGUGGACAAGAGCAUCAGCUCUUGGUAGCAAAACUGAUCGUUUUUUUUUCUGUUCACUGGCAAUCGUAGAUGGAAUGGAUUACGCUUGUUGAUCACUGGGCUAACAACAAGAGCGUCCAAGAGGCCCUCUAUGUGCGAAGGGUAUGUCUAAAUCGAGCACUAUGGUAUGUAGCAUUUGAAGAAUGCCGAAGCAAGCCUAAACUGAUUUCUGUAAUCACAUUGCAGGAAACUAUCGGACAGUGGGUAAGCUGCAGCGAUACCUUGCCAUACACAGAAAAUGCAGGGAGUGUUGUACCAUAUCAUGCAAACCUUAGCACUAAAGGUUAUAGAUCCCUUAUAUACUGGUUUGGUACCUAACUCUGAAUCUUGAUGCAUGUAGGUUAACAGCAGUGAUUUUAAGUACUGAAAGUGGAGUACUUUGUGAUGCAGUGGUGACCAUGAUCUGCUGGCCCCACACAUUGAAACUCAAGCGUGGAUAAGAUCUCUACAUUACCCAAUUAUUGACGAUUGGAGACAGUGGAUUCAUGAAGGCCAAGUUGCGGGGUUUGGUUCAAAAUUGAACAAUGUUUCUUUUCUUGAUUACACCACCAUAAGCACGAGAUAAAAAGAUGACUUUACCCAUCUCAUCUAAAUUUGUGUUGUUUUCCUGCUUCCAGUUACACAAGGACCUACGCAAAUAAGAUGACAUUUGCAACAGUGAAGGCAAGAAAUUCCUGUUUCUGUUGCUUCAGUGCAAGAUUUGUUCACAUGGUAACAACUAACAACAAGGUUAGAACAUUCUUGGGACUAACUAGCACCCUUUUUCUUUUUAUUUUUUUGGGUGAAGGGAGGAGGCCAUGUUGCUUUUGAGUUCAAGCCUGCCGAAUGCAGAAUUAUGCUUGAGAGAUGGAUAUCGCAUCAGCCUCUCUAAUCAGUUGGCAUAUGGAUAUGAACAUCUUUGAUCACUUCUCAGCAUCAAAUGUUCCACUCUUAAAUAUAAACUAUUGUAACUUUGGGUCAUGAGACGCUUCUACUCCAAGUCUCCAAUGGAUUGCCUUCUUACCAAAUAGUGAAUAAAAUGUAGUAGUUAAAAUGGGAAUCACGUUACUUACGCCUCCAAAACCUUUCUAUAUGACUGUUGAAGCUUUUACUUGGAAAAUAUGUCAUUGAAAUAAAUUUCCUCAAUUUUGCAAUAAAUAAAAUUUUGAAUUCACAGGAAAGUACCGUUUGGCAAGGAAUUCAAAUAUUAAAAAAAAUUGUUACUCCAUUAAACAUGAAUGGAGGGAAUCUACCAAAGCUUUUAAAAGAUGAAGAGGAGUAGGAAAAGGAAUUUCUUAUACAUAAUUGAAAAGCAAUUUUCUUGAGAACACUUUUAAAACCUAAAGAAGAUCAAAAGAAGAAAUCCCUCAUGUCUAGGACUGAUCUAAUCACUUUUUAAGCAAAACUGUGACUCAAAAGUACCUUAAAAGCCUUCUUUUUUGGGUAGCCCUAAAUUACGUGUUUGUGGCCAUUGAUGAUCUAGUCAUCGAAGACUCACACUUGACUCAUACUUGAAUUGAUCCAAUCUUUAGAAAUUCAAUGGGUCAAUUUAUGCUACCCAUCUCACCAAGUGGUGCGACUUAAUCUAGACUGCUAAAUUUUUGAAAAUCGGAUCUUCCAAGUUUUGGUUGAACGUACUAAGGGUACUAGGAGGCAUAAAUCGCGUGAUGGAUAGGGAACUAAAGACAAUAUGCCCAAGCAAAUAUGCGGAUUAAGGGAGUGAUUGAAUUUUGGUAUAUUCUUCUUUUAUCCAGCAUGGCAUGCAAAAAAAUUUUUUUUGUUUGUAUAUGAGUAUGAAUAUGCAUGACACUUGACAUGGGGAAAAAAAUUCACUGAGUUGUAUAGAAUAAGGUUGAUAAUCCAAUGUGCUUCAAACUUCAGGGCAAUGCAAAGCUUCAAAUCCAUUGCAUUACAUGAAUUUGGCAAUGAUGACGAUGAUGUACCUGGCUGCUACACUAGAUAGCAAAAUCACAAAUUGUAAAGCAAGGUAUUCUCUACAUUUUCAGAAAAUCUAACAACUUGCAGGUUGAAACAUUGUAACUUGAUGCUAUAUCUUUUUGGAUUCAUCACUCGUGGCUUCUGAUGUACUUUCACAAAGUAAUUGAAAGCAACUAAAACUAACUUUGAAGCAGAAAUUGUUGUAACAAAGAUAGAUAAAUUCCUCAAGAAGAUAUUACUGGAGAAAAUGUGGAAUAACCUUACAUCGCACUUCAACAAAAGCAUUAAACCACGAAAGAAACGUGCCAGAUUACUGAUACAUAAUUAAUUAUGGCUUAACUGAGCUGAAGAUAAAAAUUAAAAUGCCAUGGAUACACAGAUACCAGGUACUAGUUGAUCUUAAGAAAUGCUUGAUAUGUUCUUGAUAUUCGCCUUAAUCUUAUUUCUACAGAAAAACUUGAUGAUGAAGGUUACCAUAACUCGCAAGGUGGAGGCAAAUGGAAACUCAGCAAAACAAAUCUCGUUGUUGCCAGAGGAAGGAAGCAGAGUACCCUCUACUUGAUGCAAGCCAAGUUGGGGAAGAGAGAAGUAAAUGCAGUUCAUGAUUCCUAAAUUGACCUUUGGCAUAGGCAACUUGGAUACAUGGGUGAAAGGAGAAUUCAAACACUUGUUCGCAAGCAGCUCCUACCUUGAGUUAGAGGUAAUGUAUUUAAAUAUUGUGUUGACUGCAUUUAUGGAAACAAACAUAGAGUCGCAUUUCAGAAAUUUUCUCUAUCUAGAAUAUUAAAUUCGUUAGAGUUGGUGCACACUGAUGUUUGCUAUAUGAAAGUAGGUCUCUUGGUGGUGUUGUUUAUUUCGUAACUUUUAUUGAUGAUUUUGCUAGAAAAGUUUGAUGUUUUGCAUUGAAAUCCAAAGAUCAGGUUUUGGAUGUAUUUAAAAAUUUUCCUAGCAAAGUUGAAAGACAAACUGACAAGCAAUUAAAGUGUGUUUGUGUUGAUAAUAGUGGUGAGUACAGGGAACGGUUUGAAAGUUACUGCAAGUCCCAUGGGAUCGGACUAGAAAAGACAAUACUAAAAACUCCUCAAGAGAAUGGAUUAGCAGAGAGGAUGAAUGAAUCAAUCACUGAGCAGGUCAGAUGUAUGAUCUCCAAUGCUAAACUGCCAAAAUCCUUUUGGGGUGAGGCAAUGAGAACUAAAGUUGAUUUGAUUAAUCUUUCUCCAUCAAUUCCUCUAGAUGGUGAUAUUCUAGAGAGAGUAUGGAUGGAAAAAGUUAUGUCUUUUAAACACUUGAGAAUUUUUGGUUGCUGGGCAUUUGUUUAUAUUUUCAAAGAUGAGAGGUCAAAACUUGUUGUAAAAUCAAAAUAGUGUAUUUUCUUGAGUUAUGGACAUAAAAAUUUUGACUAUAGGUUAUAUGGUCCUGUUGAAAAGAAGGUGAUCAGGAGUAGAGAUAUUGUCUUCUAUGAAGAUCAAACCAAUAAAGACAUUGAUAAAGGUGACAACCCAAAAUUCUCAGAUAAUAUUUCUGCUAGUUCAAAUUCAGAUUCAGAUCUAGUUCUAGUACCUGUUGAUUUUAAUAAAGGGAGAGCUGCGAUAGAGCCGAAAGAGGAUGUUGAUGAUGGUAAUAAUCCUGCUAUUGAUGUACCUGAGCAUGAGACGCCACCUACUCCACCACUGCCACCACAAAUGAAAUUAGAAAUCUACCAGAGAGAGUAGACAUUCUAGCAGAUAUAAUUUCCAUGAAUAUGUGUUGUUGACAAAUGGAGGGGAGUUAGAGCCUUACUAUGAGGCUCUAGAGCAUGAGGACAAAAAAUUGGUUGCGAGUCAUGCAAGAGUAGAUGGUAUUCCUGCAUGACAAUCACACUAUGACUUAAUAAAACUAUCUAAGGACAAGAGAGUUCUGAAAAUAUAUGGGUCUACAGGUUGAAAACUCAAGAGCACAGCUCACAAUCAAAGUACAAAGUAAGAUUGAUUGUGAAGGGAUUUAAUCAAAAGAAGGGUGUAGACUUUGAAGAAAUUUUCUCUCCUAUGGUAAAAAAUGUCAUCAAUUCGAGUUUUUUGGGUAUUGCAGCCAGAUUAAAUUUAAAAAUCAAACAACUUGAUGUGAAACAGCCUUCUUGCAUAGUGACUUGAAAGAGAUCUAUAUGGAGCAAUUGGAGGGGUUCAAAAAAAGUGACAAGGAAAACUUUAUAUACCGUCUCAAAAAGAACUUGUAUGGGUUGAAACAGGUACCGAGCCAGUGGUAUAUGAAAUUUAACUCCUUUAUAAUAGACCACAAGUAUCACAGGACUACAUCUGAUCACUGUGUUUAUGUGAAAAGUUUUCCAGAUGGUGAUUUUAUUAUUCUCUAUUGUAUAUUGAUGACAUGUUGAUUGUUGGUCGUGAUACUAUAAAAUUUGAUUGGUUGAAAAAGAAGCUAAAUAAAUCCUUUGCAAUGAAGGAUUUAGAUCCGGCUAGACAAUACUGGGAUGAAAAUCUCACAAAACAAGCAAAAUGGGAAGCUUUGGUUGUCUCAAAAAAGGUACAUUAAGAAGGUGCUCAUAGGUUUAAUAUGAGUAAAGUUAAGGAAGUCUCUACUCCACUUGCAGAUCACUUUAGAUUGGGCAUCAAGCAGUGUCUUACAAGUGAGAAAAAUAAGGAAGACAUGAAGAAGGUUCCUUAUGUCUCGAUUGUUGGUAGUUUGAUGUAUGUUAUGAUUUGCACCAUGUCAGAUAUUGCUCAUACAGUUGGAGUAGUCAGUCGGCAUCUCUUUAAUCCUGGUAAGGAACAUUGGAAUGCUGUCAAAUGGAUUCUCAGGUAUCUCAAGAGAACUUUCAAAUUGUGUUUAUGUUUCGGUAAUGGUAAAACUAUAUUAAACGAGUACACCAAUAUAGAUAUAGCAGGUGAUUUUGACAAUAGAAAAUUUACAUUUGGGUAGUUGAUAAUUUUUGCAGGAGGAGAAGUGUUAUGACAAAGUAAGUUACAAAAGUGUAUCGCCCUUUUCAGUACGAAGGUAGAUUAUAUCGCAACCACUGAAACAUGUAAGGAGACUUUUUGGUUGCAAAAAUCUUUCAAGAGUUAGGUAUGAUGCAAGAGAAGUAUAGUCUUUAUUGUGAUAGUCAGAGUGCCAUUCAUUUGUGUAAAAAUUCUACAUUUCAUUCUCAAUCCAAACAUAUUGAUAUGAGAUAUUAUUGAAUUCGGGAAGUAUUGGAUUUCAAGUUAUUGACACUUGAGAAAGUUCACUUUAAUGACAAUGUUGCUGAUAUGCUGACCAAGGCGUUGCCUAAGGAAAAACUCUUAUUUUCCAGACAGGAAGUAGGUUUGACUAUACCCCAAAUGAGUUGGAAGGGGAGAUUGCUGGGUGUGGGCCAGCCCAUUUGUAGGCCAAACUACAAAAUUAAUCCCAUUAGGUUGAAGUCAAAUUGGAUUUGGAAAACUUGACUUACUUUCUUGAAGAAAGGACAAAAGUUUCAGCUGAGAGAAAUCAACUGAGGAAGAAAAAGAGCAGCCGGUACUUUUCUUUGUUCGGUGAGAAACGAAAAAAGAGAAAUUUGGGAAGAAACUAGAGAGAGAAAUAACUUUAAGAUCUUGAUUGGAGGGCGAUUCGAAAACUUAAUUGAGACGAAAUUUUACCCACGCGAUCCUCUUGUCAAACUCUACUCAUCUAUUAAUUCAAAUUUUGGAUUUCUUCUUCGUUUUAUAACACCCUUUCAAAUCCAAUUUUUUGACAGUUGUAAUUUUUGGAGAUGAUUUUGUAGCGAUUUAAGUUGGUCGAUAUUAAUGAUAUUAUAGCCAUUUGAAUGUUCCAAAAAGACUUGUGUAUUUUCAUUAUUGUGAUAGUGGAGAUUUUUUGACCGGACUAGGUCCCGUGAUUUUUUCAAUUUGAAUUUUUUACGUAAAAAAUCUUGGUGUCCCGUGCCUUUUAUUUUUCCUGCAUUCUAUUAUUACUAUUGACACUAUUACUUGGUGAUUUGAUUUAUUUCUAUUUUAACUAGUACUUGAAAAAAAGUAAUUUGUUCUAAACUAACUCUGAUAUUGAGUGCUUGCAUCGAUACCCCUUUCUCAACAGAAAGGAAUACGGUAGGAGAGAGAAGGGAAGCAGCAGAUCAGGAAGAGAGGGAAAAAGUUAGAAGAUCUAUGGCAUGAGGUUCAGAAAUGAAUGGUCAGUCUAGAUAGUGCAACUGCCUAAUAUACCUUGCUUUAGAACAAAAAUUAUUUGACUUCGCUCACACAUAAAACUUCUCUAAAUGACUCAAUGAAACUAAUUACUUAAUACUCCUUGGUCCAGAUAACAUUUCAGCUAUAUCAUCACACAUAAAAAUCUUAAUGCUGUUUUGCAUGAUCUAAUAAAUAACUUAUCUGAACAAUUCUUACUAAGAAGCAACCACAGAAAAUUAGAGUUCAAUCUAAUUCAGCUGAUUCACUGCAUGUUCCUUGGUAAUAAACAAUUUGACUUGGUCUUUUAAGUGUUCAUGAAUGUUCAAUUAGUCAAAUAGUAACAAAAAUCAGGAAAUAAAUCUUUGAAAAGAUGGAUCUAAUUUCAAAGGUUCUUAUAUAUUAAUCAAGCCAUGGUACAAGUCUAAGGACAAGGAACACAUGGUAAAUCAUCAUUUGGUGCCACACUGGAUAACAUCGUAGUCAUGAGAAGAGUGACAAGCAUCUUAAAUCAUCAAAAGCGUGAAUUUAAUCAUAUAACUACUAAACAAUAUGCCAAAACUGUAGACAAUACGAGGCGCAAGAAAGACUAAAUAAUAGAAUUCCUUUGUUUGUAUACGAUACUUGUUUGAGCCUGUAAGAGCUAUGCUGUACAGUAUCUCAAAUGAAUUUCAGCUGCAAAAAGUUAUAAUCCUACACUAUCCAACAUCUAUCAUGAGAAGCGUGCACAAAAAUACUUCAAGCAUCAGUUUGGAAUUAGCACAAUGACUAUUUUCUUCUCUCUCCAUUUCCUAAAACAAUAAGAAGUUGAGCCUAGGCUUUUCAGCUAGUACCAUCUAACUUGUAUCAGUUGGAUGGGCUUAUUGUCCAGCGUCUUGUUUUUAUAGCAUGCUACAAUCUAGCACAAAGAAAUUGCAGAAACCUCUAAAAUGAUAAAAAAAUUAAGUGACUAUUCACAUCAUAUUUAACUCGUCCUUCUCAAUUCCCAACAGCCCCUAAAAACUUUCUUUUUCCCCAGAAGAAAAUCCAAGUUUAAUCUCCACAGUAUUUCCACCUCAUAUUCAACUCUCACUUUUCUCAAAUAGAAAAUGCAAUGAAUAAUUAAAGGAAAACAUCCCUUCCCACAUUGACAAUGUAUCGAUUAGCAUUUUUUGAAGUAAAUAAAGCAAAGGAACAUUAGAUAGUAAACUAGAAGGAGAAAAAAAUAGAACUGAUCAAAAUACUUCCAAGCAACAAUCUUUCCUAAUUUCUUAUAACUAGAAGUGCCAAAAUAGGUGACUUGAGUGGGUUGGGUUGGUUAAAAUGGGUAAUGGGUAUAAACGAGUUAACUCAUUUAUACCCAUUUAAUUAGAUGGAUAUAAAUGGGAUAAGUCAAAAAAUGAAUUGGGUAGCCCAAUUAUCCAUUUAUAUCCCAUUUAUUUUAACUUUUCAUAAUCUCAUUUAAAUUCAUUUUUGUAAACUAUGUUAUGAAUUUGUACCACCCUUUGCACCCAUCAUAAGUUUUAAAUAUUUACUUAUAAUGUUCAAUACGCCUAAUUACCAAAUUUUUUUUCAUCCGUACUCUAUGUUGCAAAAUUAUAUACUAUUUAAUAAUUGAACAAUAAGAAUAUAAAAAUUUGAUCUUAGUACUAUAAAAGUUAAUAUAAAAACUUGAUUCAAAAAUUUUGAACUCCUAAUAUUUUUUUCAUGUGUAAAUUUAAAAUUUCAUUUUGAAAAAGUAGGAAUAGAUGUUAAAACUUGUCAUAAAUUGAUAAUGGUAAAAAAUGAGUAAAUUAACAAACCAAGAGAAAAUAAAAUGAAAAGAUAAAAUUCAUAAAUAACAAUAAUAAUAAUAAAACAAAAGUAGUUAACAACAUGACAAAAUGAAGAAUCUGAAAAAAAAAGGGUGGUGGAAGAGAGGGGGUUUAGGGAAAGACAAUUCUAAAUGGAUUAAUUGGAUUUGAUACGUUACCCAAUAAUACAUAUUUAUUAAAUGAGUAUUAUUGGGUAAUCCAUUUAUACCCAUAUACAAAAACUUAAGAUACCCAUAUCAUUAUAUUCAUGGACGGUUAUGGAUAAAUUUAAUUAAAUGAGUUUGUUUGCUACCUAUACUUAUAACAAUCAAAAUCCACUUUUAAGGCUAAGUAUCAUACAUCACUUUUUUUUUUUUUGGUCAAAAUGUCAACUUGUAUAUCAUACAUCACUUGACUAUAGGACAUCUUUGUUUAAUGUCUAUCUCUGCCAUCUGUCAAACAAAUAUACCUCUCCAAGCAUGCUUCAUCCCUUAUUUAUAUAUCCUGUACCUCUAGUAUCAAAGUCAUUCUGCAACCAUGAUUUUGUUUUGUUUUUUUUAUCAACCUUAUAACUGGUCCUAGGAAGAUUCUAAAAACUGGUGUGGCCAACGUGUUAGAUUAAGGGAAGAAGGGCCAAGGCCACCAACAGUACUAUCUUUAAAUUUAGCUGGAAAACAAUUACAGAAAAAGGAACUAUCUACAUCCUGUAAAAUACCAAAUAUUAUAUGUACCAAAGAUUCAGGGACCCAUCCCAAUAGCUGCAUCACAAAAAAAUGCUAAAGAAAAUCAUUUCCUUCCAAUAGCUCAUGACCCUCAGAAACCAAAUAUAACUAACAAUACAUUCUUUAUUGCCCUAUAAAGGAUAUCAAGCCAUAAAGGAGUCAACAUAAAAAAAUAGAAACAAAAAGCACUCAAGGUCAUCGAAGAUCUAAAAAAAAAAAAACUACCAGGAAAGCAUAUCUAGCAACUACCUGUUCAGAUUAUUGUUAUAGUUUCCCUAAAUCCUUUACCCCAAAUCUUCUCUCUUCUGUCUGAAAAUGUUACUGUCAGUGCCCAGACCGUACAAUGUCAUAUGAGUAUGCAUCUGGGCGAUUUUGAAUUUUUCAAAACUAAGGUAUCGGUACAUGGCCAAAGAUCUAGAAUCGACUAGAGGGGGUCUCUCUUGUAUCCUAUCUGCAAGUAGCAUAUUAAAUACAACUUAAAUUAUGAAAUGGCUCAAAAUUUCUAAAUGAUCCAAAAAAAAAAGAAGACAAGAAAAUUAGCUUAAAAUAAAGAAGAAGAAAAUUUUGGGGCAGAAAUGAUUGCGCAACCAGUUUCUGAAUGGUAUAAAGCUUUAGUGACAAAUUAUAAUUCAUUGUAUACAAGACACAAGUUAUAUAAUUUCAAAAUGGUGACAUGAAAUUAUAAGAUUGUUAACAAUUAAACGUAUGUGUUUGUUAUUGUUAGAUAACAUUAUCUGAAUCCUACUUCUCGAAAAUUUAUUUUGUUGGCAAAAUUAAAAAACUGUUCUGAUCGAUCCAAAAAGGAAAAAAGAGAAAUUAAAGUACACGGUUGAGAUCUAUUCUCUCUCUCUCUCUCUGGGGACAUUCCAACCACGUGCAACGUAGUCUGCUAAUGACGGUUUCCUCUGGUAGAGAAAAAGAAAAUUGAUGAUGGGAGAGCUUUAACAAAAUGACAACCGCUAUAAGAAAAACCCUAACCGCUAAUCUAUUUGUCAUGCAUGCAGACGAAAAUCUCCACUUAUUUUUGUGUCCAUGUUAAGUUGGUUGACUUGGCUGUCAAUUCAGUAACAAAAUCAGUGACGUUUCUAUAAGGACUCUAUUUAAAAUGUAGUUCCAUCCAGUUAAAAUGUUGUUUUCGAUUUUGGCAAGUUUCACAGAUAAAUUUCAAACUAAGAGUAGCAAUUAUGCAGAUAUAUAGCCUUCUAAAGAGAUUCAAAUUCACUAUUAAUGCUCUUUAGUAAGCUUGUGAAUCCGAAAAGCCUCUUAGCUAGGGACAUUUCAUGCUUGCACCUGAUAGCAGAGUUUUAAGAGGAAAUGAAUUAAAAACUUUACUAAGGAGUUUUAAGCUUUUUAUUCUUUUCUCUUGGUAUCUUUCCCUUUUCCUUCUCCUCCUCACCUUUGAUGAAGUACUCAUGAAGUGUAAAGAAGAAAACUUAGGGAUGCAAUUUUCUGGGAUUUUUUUCAAUAUCUUGAUGGCAUUACUCCUUCGAGUUGGAUCUCAUAAUUCAGAAAAUUUAAUCUCCUGUCACAGCAUGAUCCAUUCAAGUUGCUGAAAACAAAAAUAGAAGCAACAAAUUAUUGCUCCAUGAACACAUGAAAAAUUAUCUCAUAAAACUUGAUUCAUUUUGGUGUCAUUGCAGGUAACGAUGCUAGGAUUGAGCCACAUAUUGAUCUUAACGUCUAUAUAUGUCAUAACCUUCUUUCUCCUUAAUCUAUGUAGCAAGAUAAAAACACUUAGGCAUAAAGUUACAUCUUCUAUUCCGACUCCAAAACUCACUAUCUAGAUUUUACAUAAUUAUACUUCUUGGUAACAUGUCAUGGCAUUGUUAAAUCGAUUGCUUUAGGGAUACUUCCUUGGAAAACCUACCAUUAAUCAUCACCUUCUUCUUCCUUGCCAGCGGCUUAGAUUUUACAUAAUUAUACUUCUUGGUAACAUGUCGUGGCGUUGUUAAAUUGAUUGCUUUAGGGAUACUUCCUUGGAAAACCUACCAUUAAUCAUCACCUUCUUCUUCCUUGCCAGCGGCCAAAGCCUUUCUCUCUCCGAAAUAGUUGCCGCUGCUACUAUCUUGAUCUGCCGUGGCUUCCUUAUCAAAUGGCUGGCCUUUUGUUUAGCCAAGAGGUCGCCGAUGUUGUACCGGUGACCUAGCAGCAAGGACGGCUCAAGCGACCCUUUCUUCUUCUCUCCCCGAACCGCAUCUUUUUUUAACCCCAUCAACUUUCCAUAUUUUCCUUUCUAUACAAAAAUUAACCCUAAAGUUAAGGAAGAUUCCUGCCUUGACUCGAACUCUUUAGAGUUUUCUUCAAAUUUUGCCCUUAAUUGAUUUAAUUAACUUUUUAAAGUUAAUUAGGCUUUACACGCCUUUAUGUUGGAAUAAAUAUAAAUGUUGUACUUUUUAGUAGGCAAGUUAAUUAUUAUUAUUAUUAUUGUUUUUGGACAAAAGAGGGGUGGAAUGCAAGAAACAAGUAGGGGGAAGGGGAAAGAAGGAUUUAAAUCCAAGUCCUCCAAUUCUUAGAGUCUUAAUCUUAGUUAAUUAAAAUUUUCAUGCUUUUAUGUAGUAUUGUUUCAUAUGUCGUAUUCUUCAUAAGGGUUUAUUGAGUACUUAUGCGUUGAUUCAUAACUUUUGGAAAAUCUUCAGAGUAUCUAAUUUUUACUUUUCCAAUAUCCUUUUAAUAAAUUUCACUAUGAUCUAACAGAUAUUGAUAUAGUUCUAGACUAUUAACAUGAAGAACUGAAACCAUAUGCUUUUGAGAAUUAUGAGAGUUAAAGAGAGUGUUGGUAAUAAAUAAGCACAUACUUAGUUCACACAAAAUUUAAAGUAUUGUGGAGGCAAAGUUAUUAGAUCUAAUGGAUUGAGACACAGGGUCAGUCACAAAUACUACAAGAUCUGAGUCCAACACGGAAGACAUGGAAAGUUGGCGGGUUGUGGUUGGCGUAAAAUAUUAUAUUUGACAGAUGCCGGACCUGUGCAAUAAUAAUAAAUAAAACCUAACUACACCUGAAGUAGUCAAUAAUCAAUUCUAGUACUGGAGCAGAGACUCUAGGUGUGCAAUGGAUUACUUGAUUCACCCUGUUCCCGAAGAGUUUCCUUAAUCCGAUAUACCUAAAUUAAUUAUUUAACUGAAUUCACUAACUCGUGGACAGUGAUAAGCAGGGUCGUCUCCUCAGGGAUUGGAGAGAAAUUUGUUUCUUUUCAACUCAAGAUUAAUGGGGGUUUUGGGAUUAAAUGCCAAUUAGAAAAAUUAAAUGCAGAAAAUAAUUAAUUAAAAGAGAUAAUUAGAGAAACUCCAGCCAAGGGUACACUUUAGAAAUGGUUCAUGCACUGAUCAUCGAUUCACAGAUAAUUUCAACAUUUAUUAAUAAAUUAGUUAUAGUUGUCAUGCACGCGAUAAACAACCAACAUUUCCUUAAUUUCUCGAUAAUUAAGGUACGACUGUUAACUAUUUUUCUAACCCGAAAACAACCCUAAGUACGACCGUAGGAUUUAAUUUCUAAAUUGCAUUAAUAAUUAGAAAGACCCAAUCCUAACUAACUAACACUCUAUGAAAGUUUGUUUAAACUAGAUCGUAUGUUCCCCUGACAUAAACCCGAUUACGCCAGUUGCUACUGAGAUAGAGAUAACGAACAAUUACGGAUUCAAUUACUCCUAUUUAGCAAAAUAUCUUAUAUGAAUAAUUGAUUAUUGCACACUAAUCAAUCAUACACAAGGACUAUAACAAUUAAAAGCAGGAAACAUAUAAAUACCAAUAAAUGAAGAAAAUAAUUAAAAACGGUUUAGAUCUCAUAGUAAUUGUUGAACCAAAUCUUCAGUUGCCUCCUUGACUAAAAACACGAUACUAGUUCUCCAUUAAUGGAGAACAAGCCAUGCAAAUAAUUGUUCCAAGCUUUUUCCUUUUUGUUUUUCCUCGCAAAAGUCGGCUAAAAAAGAAAAGAGUACAAAGACCUAAGUCACGGCCCUCUUCUCAAUUCCUAUUUGUUUUUGCUUCCUCCGGAGAACAAAACUCUCCUCCAAUUUGUUGCUUGCCAAACUCCUAAUCAAACGUGAAUCCGGCUUUCUCUUUUCCGUCUCUUGUGCGACCAGGCCCACCAAAGAGGCACUCACGCUGCUGACUCCUUCCAGUAUUAAUCACACGGGCCGGCCAUCCUAUCAUUUGCCUAAUUUUUAGCUUUUUAAAACCAAAUAGAUUUCCUCCUAAUCUUCCGUCAAUAAUCCACGUAGACUCCAUUUUGAAUUGGAAAACUCUUGAAAUGUGAGAACCCGUAAUUUUCAUUUUCUAAGUUUUAUUAUUUUUCAUGACUUGUUUUCUGCAUUUUCGUGAUUCGAAAAUUUUUCUAGAUAAAUUUAAGGAGCAGAUAUAAUUUUUAGAUGAUUUUUCUAGUAUCGAAUAGAUUUGAGAAAUUAAGAGCAGAUACCGGACGUGGGACCACUAGUGCGAAAAGUCCGGAAAAAUUCGGUCAACUAGAUUAAGUUUUGGAUACUGGAAUUAUUUUAUCGGGUGUUAAGAGAUAAUUAGAAGAAGCUAUUUGGAUUGAUGUGAGAGGGAACAAAGUGAUAGACUUGCAUUAAAUUGGGUGACAAGUGUCACCAUUUGAUUGGGUUACCUUUAAGACUACUAUUCCAUGUCUUACAUUGACCAAAUAAAUCACAAAAUUAACCAAAAAUUGCACCAUUUUCUCCUCUCAAGUGCCGGCCCUCUCUCUCAAAGGAAGAAAGAAAACCUCUUCAAGUUUUGGCUUCAAUCUUGCUUCAAUCAUCAAAACCAACCAUCCAACCUUGAUUUUUCUCCAUAAAACACCUUCAAGUAGUGGUGGUGAGUUGUUGUAUGAAGUUAUUUGGAAGGUUAAGGUGACCCAUAGCUCUUUCUCCUUGUUUUAAAGGUAAGUUGUGAAGAACCACCCUCCUUCUUUAAUUGAUGCUCAAAUCAUGCUUAGUGGAAGUAGAAGAUGCAAGUUUAUGGAUUAAUUCUUGAUUUGUGGUUGAAUUGAUGACUUUUUAUUAUUUUUGGGGAAUUUUCUGUUUUAAUUCAAGCAUGAUGGUGUGGCUCUCUAUGAUGUAUGGAAAUGAUCUAUAAUGACUUAAGGAGGUGGGAAAAGUGAUUAAUUGCAACCAAUUUCUGUUUUUGGAAGAAAAUUGGAAAAUCUAGGGUUCUUAAGGGUACAUUCUGUCUGAAUUUUUAGGUACUAGAUAGAGGCCGAAUUGGCCUUAGCUCAAAACAUGAAAGUUGUAGGGAAUGACAUUUUAAAGGUGCCUACAAAAAUUUCAGGUCAUUUGGAUUAGUGUAGAGUGAGAUAUGAUGAAAUUACUGUAGCUGUUCUGCUUUGAUCAGAAUGCGAAAACUGCGAUAGUAAUUGGCCAUUUUGACUGGAAUUUGUUUGGAUUUUGGAGUUGGUGUCUUCUGAUGAAAUGUAGCUGGAUGUCUUAGCUAACUUAUGCCUUUAGAAUUCGGCAUUUGGACUUGUAUAGACUGAGUUAUAGUAAUUACAGUUUUGUGUGAUUUGCAAACCUGUUUUGGGAAUUAUGGUAUAGUAUUUUGCAUAUUUGACCUAGUUGUGUUAGGAACUGGAUUGAGUGACCUUCUACAUUGUUGUAGCUCUGUUUCUUGGCUUCGAAAUGGUGGGUCUUACACCCCAUCCGAUAAUUGUAGUGAGAGUUGUGCCAUUACCAAAAUGACGUCAAAACUGUAUUUUCCGGGCCAAUGCUAGUUACAUUUCCGAAAUUUCUGGUUUCCUCUAUUGUUUGUAAAUGUUUAUGGAACCUUAUUGGGGUCAUGUUUGGCCUUGGUUUAUGACUCGUUAUCGAGUCUCAUUGUAUUUGUUUGCAUGUUUUUAGGGCGUGACGGUGGUGCACAACGUUCUUUUGACUAAAGUGUUUGAAACCACAUUGUGCUAGCUUGGUGAGUGUACUACUCACUUAUGUGCUAUUACAUGGCUUUGAUAUUUGUACUUGAGAUGUUGAAUGUUGAUUGAUCCAAGUGAGCGUGUACUUUAUCACUUUCACUUAUUGUUUCGCAUGUUAUUGGAAAGUUAUAUGAAAUGUUAUAUGAAAUGAAAUACAUGACUUCAAAUAUUAUCCAUGAGCUCAACCCCAUUGGUUAUUGAUUGAAUCGAGCCGGCGAGGGCUUGGUCGUGCCAAUUAAUGUGCCUUGGGCAACAUCAUAGGGAAUCUUGUAGUAUGAGAGACUCUUGAUUCCGGUUUACUCGAGUAAUACCACAAUGUAAGAGUUUGGAUUUCGGGCCGCGUUGAGGAAUGUUAGGAGGAAGGGAAUGGAAGUUAAGAGGAGUCUACGGUUGGUUACCUUUCAGACAUUGACGGAGAGUCAAUGAGACCUGAUCAAGAAUUCAAACGAGGAAAAGGGCUCUUGAGAGCCACCCGUAUCCUUUUAUCCUCAUUAUUAAUGUGUGGCUUUAUUUAUUUUGGUAAAUUGGACUGUUAAACUUGAUGUAUUCAUGAACUUGGUUGCUUGAGUUGUAUUCUCACUGGGCAAUUAGCUCACCCCGUUCCUUUUGUUUUCCUUACAGGAAUAUGACUCUUUUGGAAUGAAUUUUGAUAAAUGGUUGCCGAAUGAACUAGAUGAAUGACUCUUUUGUAUUGUAUAUAAAAUGGGACCCUAAAUGUAUCAUUAGGGCCGUUUUCACUUUUGUUUUGGCAAACCAUAUAUGUAGUGACUUUUGUAUCACUUUUAAAUGUCAUUUUUGGUUUGUAAAGGCUAAAUGUUAUGUGGUAUAUGUAAUUCGAUGUUUGGUUGGGUUCGGACGAGUCGGUUACUAUUCAUGGCCGAUUCCGGAUUUCAUUUUCUUUUAUUUUGGGUUAUUUUGCCCUUUUGCCUUAUUUGCGCUCGUUAUAAGUUCCGGAACGUGAAAGAUCGCUCUAUACUGCACCGUUAGUCCUGGCGAGAGCUGGGCAGGCAGUCCGCUAACCCCUUUGGUUCGCCUUAGGGGAAGGUGGGGCUGUCACAGGUGGUAUCACACCUUUUAUCUCUUUUUGCUCCACCUCACAACAAUUAGUACCAAGUACCAAAUAUAAGUAGAAUCUAACAAUUAAUACAAUAUUUGGUAUAAUAAAAGAGGAAAAUAAUCAUAGAAUUAAUGACAAAAAUACAAUCUAUCAAUUUCCCCCACACCUAAACCAUACUUGUCCUCAAGCAUGAGAACAACAAGUCAAAUAAUCAAAUUCAAGCAAUGGCUAUUGUUCAAAUCUUCUAUUGCCAAAAUACAAUUAAAACACAUGUCAAGUAUUAGUGGCAAUUUUCAAGAAAUAUCUUUUCAAUUAGCUUUCAAGAUCAAGAAUUCUUUCAAUUUAUGACUAACUAAUCUAAGAAUAUAAAAUAUUCAACCAGCAUCCAUAAGCAAAUGGUUCGACUAUUAAGCAAAUUCUCAACAAUAAAAUUUAUGAAUCAGCGGGCUAGCAAUUCAUUCACAUUUUUCACUAUUAGCAUUUUUUUUUUAGAAUAUCCCCACUUAAUUGAUUUUUUUUCUUCAGGGGGAAUGCUUAGUUUUUAACCAUUUAAUCGUUUUGAUGCGAACUCCGACAUUGGCCAAAUGAAAUAACCCGGUUACUUAACUUUUAUCGCUAAAGGACCACAUACUCAUAGCUAUCGUUGCUUUUUUUACGCAAAAAUCGACGCUUAUGGUGAAGACCUCUGGUUACUAGGUAACGAUACUAGUGGAGUAUAGCCGAAUACUAUUCAUAAAUAAGUACCAAAUUAAAAUUAAUAAUCACACAAACCCGCUUUAUUUCUUAAACAUGGAGAACUAAGAUUAAUAGUUGAACCAAUUUACAUUAAAAAAAUGCUAGACAAAUAUUUACAAUACUUAGAAAAGUUAACCAAAAAGCGCAAAAGUCACAAAAUCUCAAAUAUUCACAAAAAAUAUACCCUUAAAUUUAACCAUGUCAUACUCAACACCUUAGAGUGUAAAAUCUUAGCAAUAGAAAAUUUUGAGACAUCUAACCAUCGUUAAUCAGAAACAAUCACAAAAAUGCACAAAGAUAGGCAAAAAUUGGAUAAAAUUCAACAAAGUCAAACAAAAAAUUCCAACCAAAAAUGCCUACACUUGCACUUUUUCAAUAAAAUACCGAUAUACUACUCCCCCCGCACCUAAAUCUUACAUUGUCCCCAAUGUAAGUAAUAAAGAAUAAAAUUCAAAGCAAAAAGGGACAACGAAACUUCCCUAAGCACGCAAUGGAGGGUCUCAACCAGCUAUGACAUAGGUGGGAAUGGUCGGUUCUUCCUUUUAUCCUUUGUUUGAGUAGAGAUAAGAACAGGCAGUGAGGGACUGGCGCCGAUGGUAAGUUCGCUGGCUGCGGCGGCUGAACGAAGAUGGUGGCUGUAGCGGGCUGGGGAGGUGCUCGGUGCGGUGACGAUGGAGCAGCGGCGGACAGCCAAGCGGGCGAAAGCAGCAGCGGGAAAGGGGGAAAAAAGGGAAAGAAAGAAAGAAGAAGAAAGAAAAAGAACCAUGGGUUUAUUUUUUUUGGAACCCCUGUGUUAGGGGUGGGUAGGCCUGACUGCCUUCGAGUCUUUUGACCAACUGUCCGAAAUUAAGAUCCUUAAGUGUGACCAUCUGACGUGGGGCACGCCUAACUACUAGAGAGUUUUCUGACCAAUUUUCAGAAAUUGAGUUCCUUAGGCGUAACCACUUGGCAUGGGCACGCCUAACUACUAUAGAGUUUUCUGACCAAUUUUCAGAAAUUGAGUUCCUUAGGCGUAACCACUUGGCAUGGGCACGCCUAACUACUAUAGAGUUUUCGCCGAUGAAAAUUGCUUUCCUUAAGCGUGACCAUUUGGCGUGGGUACGCCUAACUGUUGGGUAGUUUUCUGUCCGCCAAAUUAAAAUUUCCUUCCUUAGGCGUGACCACCUAGCGUGGGCACGUCUAACUGCCAGCUUCCUGCUACAAAAGCAACAAAUCACUAAAUGCAACUAAUACUUAACAAAAACUCCAAAAACAUAAGAAAACUAAAACAAAGGCCUUGGGUUGCCUCUCAAGUAGCGCCUUUCUUUAAUGCCUUUGGUUAGACAUUACCAUGUUUAUUCACGGAGACAAAAAUCGUGUAGCUCGUUUCAAUGCUUCAUUUUCUAUGUAAUCCUGAUAGCCCUCAUAAAUAGAAUAAUCCUUGAGCAUACGAGGUACGGUCUUCCAUGGAUUAGUAGAUGGCGCAAAACAAACAAGUGAUGACCUUAAUUCUUCACUCACUCCUCCAUCAAGAGCACUUAUUGGUUCGAGAUAUUUUACCAUCAUGACUCUUAACUUAUUCCUGUCAUGAAACUCAAAAUUUUCUGGCAUAAUAAAAUCAAUCUCACUAACAGGAAUUAAAGAAUAAGAAUCAAGAGAAUAUUGAUUAAGGAAUGGAGGAGAUGUCACCGCAUUCGGCGAUUAUUCACUGGAUUCAUUCACUUAAGCAAUUUGAUGUUGGGGUCUCAUUUCUUGCACUUCAACUUCCUUUUUAACUGCAUAUUUAGAUUUGUCUUCUUGAGACUUUUGUAGUUUCAUGUCAUUUGUCAGGACAAUUGCACUCUCAUCUUCCUCAUGGUCGAUGAUAGUCUGUGAGGGCAAUUUUUCAUACAUUUGAGAAGUCAACUGCGUUAUCCUAGAUGUCAAUUGAUUCACUUGAUCUGCCAGGUUAAGCAUGCUCGCUUGUGUCUCCUGAUGAAAAUCUAUUGUUUCCUGAUGAAAAUCCAUUGUCUUCUGUUGAAGUUGAUGUGUCUCAUGUUGAAUUUGAUAUGUGUUAGUAGCUAUUAAUUCAACUAUUUUUUCAAAAGACAUACCUGACAUGGAUGACGAUUCUUGAGACUCUAGCUGUUGAAAAUCUAUUAGACUUUGUUCAUAAUUAAAAGUGAAAUCAUCCCACCAUUCUUGAUCAUACUCGUUUGAAUAAGGGUCAUACCAUAUUUGAUAUUGAGGUGAAAAAUUUUCAAAAGUAUCGAUUAGAGCACUUAGACCAUCUUGAAAUGCAGGACAUAUGUCGGUUGAAUAAUUUGAGACAAAAUAAGUUUCACAAUUUGCAACAACCUAUUGAUCAUUAGAAAAAGCACGAGUCUCAUAACCCCUUCUCGAAAUAAAAUUCAAUCUAUCACUAAAAUACGGAAUGUUAACAACCAUAAACUAUAUAUUAAAAAAUAAGAGAAAAAUAAAAAAAAUAAAAAUAAGAUGAACUCAAAAAGAAACAAAUUAAUCAGGCACCACUCUCCAGCAACGGCGCCAAAAAUUGACAGGUGUCGAACCUGUGCAAUAAUAAUAAAUAAAACCUUACUACCACCUGAAGCAAUCAAUAAUCAAUUCUAGUACUGGAGCAGGGACUCUAAGUGUGCAAUGGUUUACUUGAUUCACCCUGUUUCCGAAGAGUUUGCUUAAUCCGAUAUACCUGAAUUAAUUAUUUAAUUGAAUUCACUAACUAGUAGACAAUGGUAAGCAGAGUCAUCUCCUCAGGGACUGGAGAGAAAUUUAUUUCUUUUCAAGUCAAUAUUAAUGGGGGGUUUUGGGAUUAAAUAUCGACUAGAUAAAUUAAAUGCAGAAAAUAAUUAAUUAAAAAAGAUAAUUAGAAAAACUCUAGCCAAGGGUACACUUUAGAAAUGGUUCAUGCACUGAUCAUCGAUUCACAAAUAAUUCCAACAUUUAUUAAUAGAUUAGUUAUAGUUGUCAUGCAUGCGAUAAACAACCAACCUUUCCUUAAUUUCUCGAUAAUUAAGGUACGACCGUUAACUAUUUUUCUAACCCGGAAACAACCCUAGGUACGACCGUAGGAUUUAAUUUCUAGAUUGUAUUAAUAAUUAAAAUGAUCCAAUCCUAACUAACAAACACGCUACGAAGGUUUGUUUAAACUAGAUCGUAUGUUCCCCUGAUAUAAAUCCAAUUACGCCAGUUGCUACUGAGAUAGAGAUAACGAAUAAUUACGGAUUCAAUUACCCCUAUUUAGCAAAAUAGCUUAUAUGAAUAAUUAAUUAUUGCGCACUAAUCAAUCAUACACAAGGGCUAUAACAAUUAAAAGCAGGAAACAUAUAAAUACCAAUAAAUGAAGGAAAUAAUUAAAAACGAUUUAGAUCUCACAGUAAUUGUUGAACCAAAUCUUCAGUUGCCCCCUUGACUAGAAACAAGAUGCUAGUUCUACAUUAAUGGAGAACAAGCUAUGCAAAUAAUUGUUCCAAGCUUUUUCCUUUUUGUUUUUCCUCGCAAAAGUCGGCUAAAAAAGAAAAGAAUACAAAGACCUAAGUCAUGGCCCUCUUCUCAAUUCCUAUUUGUUUUUGCUUCCUCCGGAGAACAAAACUCUCCUCCAAUUUGUUGCUUGCCAAACUCCUAAUCAAACGUGAAUCCGGCUUUCUCUUUUCCGUCUCUUGUGCGGCCAGGCCCACCAAAGAGUCACUCAUGCUGCUGACUCCUUCCAGUAUUAAUCACACGGGCCGACCGUUUUCCUAAUUUUUAGCUUUUUGAAACCAAAUAGACUUCUUCCUAAUCUUCCGUCAAUAAUCCACGUAGACUCCAUUUUAAAUUGGAAAACUCUUGAAAAAUCACAUCUUUUAUCUCUUUUUGCUCCACCUCCCUCCAAUUAGUACCAAGUACCAAAUAUAAGUAGAAUCUAUCAAUUAAUACAAUAUUUGGUAUAAUAAAAGAGGAAAAUAAUCAUAGAAUUAAUGACAAAAAUACAACCUAUCAAUAUUAAUCAUGCAAUGAAAACGUUGAUGAAUUAUAAUAGAGAGCCAAUCUUACGGUGAAAACAAGGACGAACUGUAACUAGGAGUCAACCAUACAAUGAAACCGUGGACAAUUUUUCAGCAAGAUAAAGAAGAUUAUGUACGUUAGUCUAAUUUAUAUUUCAAUCUCCAGCAAGCUUAGGUUCCACCAUGGGAUUGAUCUGAUUUUAACCUAUUUUAUAUCCUUUCAACUAGAUUCGUCCCAUAUUUGCUUCUGUUUCAAUCGGUUGAACCAACCUAUGUGGUUCAAUUUGUCAAAAAAAAAAAAGAGUUUGGUUGAGAUGAUUGAACAAUUACACAAGAAACUUACUAUUUGUGGGUCCAGUUACACAAGAAACUUAAAAUUGUGGGUCCAAUUUGUCAAAAAAAUGAGUUUGGUCUAGAUGAUUGAACAAUUACACAAGAAACUUAAAAUUUGUGGGUCCAAUUACACGAGAAACUUAAAAUUGUGGGUCCAAUUUGUCAAAAAAAAAAAAGAGUCUGGUUGAUAUGAUUGAACAAUUACACAAGAAACUUAAAAUUUGUGGGUCCAACGUACCAAUGGAGCAGAAGGAAUUGUACUCUUAAAUCUCAGUACAUGCUAGUUCAAUCAUAGAUAUAGUUAAAAUCUCUUAGGUGCUAUUUUCCCCUCACACUUUAUUACCGGGCAUCCUGCACCUUUCACUACUGUCUCCUCUCACACAUCAUGUUUUUUAAGUUGGAAUAGUAUCAACCUUUCAUUCGACGGACAACAUUGCAUUCAAGGUUCUAGUGGGAGGGAGUUGCCAUUGCUACGCUCCGAUAACAAUACUGGGUAGGGAUGGCAAUGGGACAGGGGAUCCCUCUCCCGUAAAAAUAAAAUAAAAUCUGUUAGGUGUUAUUUCCCCCUCACACAUUAGAACUAGGCAUCCUGCACCUUUCACAAUUGUCUCCUCCUCACAUAUCGGGUCUUUAAGUUGGAAUACUAUCAACCUUUCAUUCGACGGACAACAUUGCAUUUAAGUGUCUAGUGGGAAGAGUUGCCAUUACUAUGCUCCGAUAACAAUGCUGGGUAGGGAAGGCAACGGGAUGGGAGAUCCCUCUCCCGUCUCCCGUCUUGGUGCCAAAUAUCUCCCCAUACACCCACUCCAUCCUUUACUCCUGCCCUUACCCCUCCUAGCUGCCCUCAGGGAGUUUGCAGCGGGGAAUGCAUAAAAAUUUGCAUCCUAUAGCUAUUUGCUUCCAAAUAACCAACAAAAAUUCAACAUAUCAACCCAUGGGGGGACGGGUGUCCUUAUUGCCAUCACUAGUGUUACAUAUUAUUGGCCUUUUUAUCACGAAAGCUAUCUCAAAAGUUAAAAGUUUUCCCUCACAUGUAUAACCAAAUAUCCUUUCCCUUCCACAGUUGAUGCAGAAUAAACUGAAAAUUCCCCAUUCACAUUAGGCCCGAGGUUGGAAUAGCAUCAACCUUUCAUUCAAUGGGUGCAAGUUGGGAAAACACCAACCUUUCAUUUGACAAGCAACAUUUCAUUCAAGUGUUUAAAUUGAUUAAUUUUUCAUUUGAAGAUGAAAUUGGUCAGCAAUUGACAGUUUAAAUACUAAAUGUGUCAUGUUAAAAAGUUUGAGAACGAAAUGUAUCUAUGACCUAAAGUUUAGGGACAUUUUCCUGCGUUUUACUCUUUUCUAUCAAUAUGUUAAGUUAUAAGACGCUCUGGAUGAAGACAGAAAACGUUUCUUUGAAAACUUCCAUUUAGGAGAUACUUAGGAUACGAGUUUAUGGGAUCAUUUAUACCUUCAUUAAUUGCAUUAGUACUCUUUCGUGUUGGACUCAAUAGCUCAUAAAUCUAUAUUAUCUCUUGCCACAAGAUGAUUAGUUGAAGUUUGCUAAAUACAAAGUGUAUAGGAUCAACAAUUUGUUGCUCUAUGAGUAUAAGAUUAAUUAUUAAGGCCCUAAAACUUACUUGUAUUUUGGUGUUAUUCUAGGAAAAGAGGUCAGCAUUGAACCACGUAUUGAUCUUUAAGGUUGACAGGUUGUCGAAACCUGUACAAUAAUAAAAUUAAACCUAAUUGCCAGUUGAAAUAACCAAAACCCAAUUCCAAGUACUGGAGCGGGACUCUAGGUGUGCAAUGGGUUACGUGAUUCACCCUAUUCCCGAAGAGUUUGCUUGAUCCGAUAUACCCGAAUGGGAUGGCUUUUUUCACAAAUAAUUAUGAACUUAUAGAUAGGGCAAGUAGGGUCGUAUCCUCAGGGAUUGGGGAUAUUUGUCUCUUUAGAAAUCCAAAGUAACACAGGGGGUGAUUUUGUAUGAACGACGACAAUUAAAAAAAUUCAAAUAAGAAAAUAAAAAUAAUUAACUAACUAGAAAUUAAAUAACAAUUCACUAAAUUUAGAGUAACAAUAAUUAAAGGUCUAGAACAAUUAAAAUAAGAAAACAACUAAAAAUAAAAUAAAAUAGGCAACUAGAAAUCAAAUGGCAAUGUACUAAAAUCAAGAUAAUAUUAAUUAAAAAUCUAGCCAAGAAAUAACUUCAGCAAUGGUUCACCUAAUUGAUCAUCGAAGCAAAGGCAAUUCCAAUUAUUUAUCAAUAAAUAGGUUAUAACUACCAAACAAGCGAUGACAGUCAACCCCUCCUUACUGUGUCGGUGAUUAAGGUACGCCCGUUAAUCACUGCUCUAAUUAGGAAAUAAAUCCUAGGUACGCCCGUAAGAUUUAAUUUCCUAAUUACCUUACGUAUUAGAGGAGCUCUAUUCUAACCAAAUAACACACUACCAGGGUUAUUUUAGGUUAGCCCGCGAAUUCCCUUGACACAAACCCAAUCAUGCCAGUUAUCACUAUUUUAAAGUAAUUAAACAAUUACGGAUUUAGUGCCCUAAUUGACAAUAGAUUACCUAAUCAACUAAUUAUCCGGAUCCAAGACAAUCAAUUAAUUGGACAAUUAUAAUUACUGUAAUAAGAGAAUAUGCGAAUACUAAUAAAUAAAAUGAAAAAGAUAAAAUUAAAUCGAUCUCACAAGUUUUAGGUGAACCAAAGCCUCUGUUUUUCCUUGACUAGAGUGGGAAGAUUAGUUCAUAUUUGACAUGAAGAACCCACACACAAUUGAAGAGAAAGCAGCUGUCAUCGUCCUUUGAGAUUUGAAGAAUUCAGAUCGUCCAAGUAUUGAAUAGAUAGUAAGCCACAAGAAGUAAUUGAUGGCUUUUUCUUUGUCUGACAUACAAUGGGUAAAGAAGCUACCAAAAUUCCUAAGGAAAGAAAAGUCAAAAUCCUGAGCCAAAACUAAAGAAACGGAAAACUAAGAGGACAAGCCAGAACGUCCCUUCCUAUGCUAUUUUUUUGGUUUUUAUCCUCCGCUUCUCUCAGAUGUGCGGCGGCCCACAAGAGAAAAGAGGACUUCGGCCCAAAUUACCCAAGAAGGGCUCGCACCUGUUUUCGUUCCCAAAAUGCACCUGGAUGACUGCUACUGAGCUCUUUCCUGAUGAAUGCCAAAUUGGCACUAGUUAUGAUAUUUUUGUUCUACUCUCUGAAAUAAAUACGAAUUACGAAAAGUGAGUAGAAUCUACUAAUUAAUCUACAUCGGAUCAGGUAAUAGGAAAAAUUAAUAAUAAAAUAAAUGAUGAAAUUGCACCCUAUCAAAGGUCUAUACUUUGAUGAUCUUCUCUUUUCUAAUCUACAUAAGCUAGAUUGAUUACAUACUAUUUGGAGAAAAAUUUACCAUCCCGAGGUUAAAACUGAGACAUUUCCCUUUAUAGCUUCAGGGAUACAUACUUGGACAUCCGGCGACUAAAGUUCAAGGAAUUCUUAACUAUCUAGCCCAUUUGCUUAUAGGAUGGGCCUGAUUUGUGAUGAGCGCUAUGUGGAAUUCUGAUGUACUAUGGGAGGGAUGUGGGGGGAGGGAGAGGAGAGGAGGAGGGGCGGAAGAGGAGGUUGCAGGCUAGUGAUAUCGGCAAGCUGGUGGCGGGUUGAGGUGGGGGAGAAGGAAGAAAAUGAUGGAAAAAGGUGAAAAUUUUGUUUGUUUUUAGAUGUUAAGGGACGUGUACAUUAAAUAUUUUGAGAUGUUUAUAGAGGAUUACUAUAAACAAAUAGUAAAAAAAAAUUGUCUAUUAAAAAUUAGACUAAAAAUCCAUGUGAAAAUAAGCUAAUAAUCCAUACUUAAUUAAUAAUUUUUUAUUUAAUUAAUUGAACUCCGUUGCUCCAGUCAUUGUCAUGCCAAACCAAGUGGAUCCGUUGCUCCAGUCGAGCCCACCAUUUUUAAACAUUACACGCAUCAUUAUUGCAUCAUUAGAAUAAUGAUGCGUGUAAUGACUCAUUACACCGUGUAAUGUCUCCCAUGACACUCCACCGGAGAUAUAUAGAGUUCGCCGAAGAACUCUAUCCAAGUGUCUGGAGUCUAAAGUUGCUCUGCCUAGGGCCCAAAACGAGAGAUAGGCCAAGCUCUAUGGAGAAGUUGCAGGUGCUCCUAAGGCAUCCUAUCUUCUGCAACCUGUUCUUGCUGCUGAGUUUAUGUUCAAGCAUGUUCAAACCUUGCUAUGGCUGGUUCCAUAGUUAAGUUUCUUCCAGGAUUUGAAGGACCCCUCCCUUUGAACUCGAAACCGGGUGAGCCACUAAGCAUAACAUAUAUAUAAUAACACUAGAAAUUAACAUUAAUCAAAACUUAGAAGAAAUAGUUGAUCCAUUUUCUGAUAUUAUCAGGUAUAUUGGAGUUGGUGAAUCAGAGGAUGGGCAGCUCUUCUACGCCUUUAUCAAGUCAGAGUCAAAUCCUCAAUCGGAUCCUCUUAUCCUUUGGUUAGAUGGAGGCCCUGGCUGCAGUUCAUUUAGUUCACUUUUCUUUGGGACAGGUCAAUUCUAAUGCCUUACACUUUGCAUUAGGUGCCACCAAAAAACAGAACAAUUGCGCCACUAUUUUGAUCUUGAUUUUGUAUAAUCUUGAAACUCUGCAAACAGCUUUUCUGGUUGAAACUCUGCAAAAAAGACAAAAGACGUUGUCUGGUUGACGAAGCUUUAUGUAAGGUGUUUUUUUGGGUAAAAGCAUCCAUUUGUCGCCAGUAGCAACUGCUACAAACAUCUGUACAAUAACUAACUACACAUUCACAUCAAAUUAAAAAGCCCAAAAAUAUAAAUUAAGCUCCAAAAACACGCACCUAAAUAUUUUUUCAUAUGCAUUGCUACAAUAAAGCUUUUAGAAAACAUUUCUAAAAACAAACUAAUUCAAAUGGAGCCAUAAUCUUUAGUUGUCUUUAAUGUUCAAGUGAUGAUGACUGAUAAACUGGAGUGCCAGCAUUUGAUCAAGUCACUGGCCCGUGAUUUCCUGUUGCAGGACCAGUAAUUUUGGAGCCAUUGUCGUUCGAUGGCACUGUGCCCAAGUUGGUAUUAAAUCCCUCUACUUGGACCAAGGUAAACUCAAGAAUUGAGUUUCUCUUUUCUUUUCUUUUAUUUUCUUGUGAGAGAAAAAGAGAUUUAAGUUGAUGAGUAUAUCUUAGACUCAUAGAAGUGUUACAUGAAAAGGUUAUUGAGAUCCAUAUAUAAAUAAGAUUCCAAAUUUUUUUCUUUUUUCUUUUUUUUUUUUUUAAAUAAUGUUCAAAUAAUCUUUAUCCAAACAAACCUAAUUCUGAAGAUUAAGAAUUCGAGUUGACUGCAUGGUUGAGAAUCAUUUCUUGUUACUUGUUAGGUUGUAAGCAUCAUCUUUCUGGAUUCGCCAGCAGGAACUGGUUUUUCUUAUGCUAAGACUGCACAAGCUUCUCAAUCUUCAGAUUUUCUAGCCUCUGAUCAAGCUUAUGAAUUUAUCAGGAAGGUACACGCCCAUCACUCAGCUAAUUAAUGAAUCGUAAGGCUUCACGGAACGUUGGACAAUUACUAAUCAGGAAAAUGCCAUAUUUGUCUCUAGACCCUUUAUUAUGCAAAAAGACCAGUGUACUAUCAUUUAAUUAUUUUCCUUCUGAAUAGUGGAAUCCUGCAUGGCUCUGCCCAAAAUUGCCUCCAUUGGAUUCAAGUUCUUGAUGAACACGGUUUUGAUUGUAUAGAACAGUUGACAGUGGAAGAUGAAUAAAAGUGACAUCAAUAAUAAUUGGCUAUGGUAGUUGAUAGGGUGAAACAUCUCGAAAGAACCCAUCAAAGAGCCCAAUAUAUAAAUCAGAAAUUCAACUCUGACCCAAAAGUUUAAGCCAUUGGAUGUCGGGCCCUUACUUAUAUAUUAAACCGCUCUUUCUCCAUCUCUCGAAUCAUUGUUGGACGUAAUCUUUUACUUAUGAACCUAACAGUAGUUACGGCAGUUAGCAUCAUGGGAGCUAUAGUAGAGGAGGAGGUCAGGCAUGUGGCUCUUGCAUGGGGAAAGAUCCCAAAGUCUCGUGAAAGGCGGCAAUCUCUAGAAUGGAAUAUCCCAUUCAUAGUGUUUAGUUAGUGAAAUGUUGUGAUACAGGCUCCUAUGAUAAUUAGUUUAACAUGUAUACUGAGAUAUUCAUCUCUUGUACAAACUUGUCCCAUAUCGGUAAACUUACAAUUUUACCUUGAAAAAAUAGUGGAAGAUGACUAAUUUUGAAUUUGAGGCUUACAAUUCAAUUUUGGGUACAAAUUUCAAUAAGCGAGGCAAUUUGUAGUCUUUUUGCAUGUUGUUGUAUCUUAAUGUCUACAAUUGGUUUGCUAGUGCCUAUGGUACACAGUGCAAUUACAACUGCCAUUAUAGAGGCUUGGGCAGGCGAUAUUUGUUGCGUUUUUACCCAUUUGAACCUCGAGUUAAAAGCUUAAUUUCCUUUGAAAUGGGAAAGAAAUUAUAGUUAAAAAGAUGUUUACCUUUUACAAGAUUGUUUUGAUAGUUGAUUAUACUGCAGUGGCUACAUGAUCACCCAGAGUACAAGUCGAAUCCAUUCUAUGUUGGUGGAAUCUCGUAUGGAGGCAUUCCUGUUCCAAUAUUAACUCAACUUAUAUCAAAUGGUAAGAUUUUUUCAAUGUGGCUCUUUGCCUUGGGGAAGUUUUUUGGUUGUGUUACAAUCUGAUUAUUGAAAUUGUCAUGCAGAUACAUAGGCAUUGUAAGAGAUGUGAAUAUACUAUAAAUGCUCUCUGUAAGCUUGUAGUAUAUGCGAAGUCUCUUUAGGUAGGAAUAUAGUUGCCACCUUAAGCUAAAUGGGUUUUAUUAACAUAAUGCAGAGCUUUAUGAGGGGGAAAAAAGGUUAAAAGUUCCCUCAGAAAUUUGCAGGCUUUUUAUUCUUUUCUGUCCAUAUGUUAAGUUAUAAAACGCUCCAGAAAAGCAAGAAAACGUUUCUUUGACCAGUUCAAGUUCUACAUUAUCUCCUCACAAGAUGAUCAGUUGAAGUUUGCUAAAUACAGAGAGUAUAGGAUCAAUGCUUUGUUGCUCUAUGACUAUUAAGCCCUAAAACUUACAUGUAUUUUGGAGUUAUUCCAGGAAACGAGGACGGCAUUGAACCACGUAUUGAUCUUAAGGUCUAUACCUUUGAUGAUCUUCUCUUUUCUAGUCUACCUAAUCUUGAUUGAUUACAUACUAUUUGGAGAAAAAUUUACCAUCCUGAGUUUAAAACUGAGACGUUUCCAUUUAUGGCUUCAGGGAUACAUACUCGGAAAUCCAGUAACGAAGGUUUCAGGAUUCUGAACUAUAGGGUUCCGUUUGCUUAUGGGAUGGGGCUGAUUUCUGAUGAACUCUAUGAGGUAACUUAUUUCUUUUGUUUGUUACCUAUUGAUAUCUCAGAACACUGUCAUUUGUCACAUGCAUUCUUACAAUGUAAAAUUACCCGUGAUUUUCUAAUUGACCUGUAUAUUUACAAUGCAGUCCUUGAAGGUUAGCUGUAAAGGGGAAUAUGAAAUCAUAGAUCCCAGUAAUGCUGUGUUCGAAAAAUAUGCAGGCAUACAAUGAGGCAAGCAACCAUAUCUAUGCAAUUUUUAUGUGACUAUAUUUUCAAAAAUUAGGCAAGGCCUAAUGGAUUUACUUAAAGUGCCUCCUAAACUCAAGAAAGAGGGAUAGAGUUAAGGAUUGUCAGUAUAACGUUUCUGAAUAGUGUAAUAUCAUUUGAAGAAGCAGUAAUUCAUUGUAACUUACUCAUACAAUUUCGUAACAGAGUUGCAGUUAAUGUUGGGCUUACACGAGCACUGAUCGAACAUCAUAUUUCUGUUGCGAAAUUGUAGAAGUUAACAAUGAAUUACUCUGAUUUAUUCAAACAAUAACACACUUUCCAGAAACGGUUGUACUGACAAUUGGUUCCUACCCCUUCCCUUUAAUUUGCGGGCUACAAAAGGUGGGAAGAAUCAGAAUAAAGGAACGGGCAACAAGAAUGAUGGUGUAAAUAAUUUCUUCUGCAGUUGGUUCGUAAUAUUGACGAUGAACAGAUCUUGAUGCCCGUAUGUCCUCCUCUUUCACGAGAGCCAAAUAAAUUAUUUACUGGUGGGAGAUCCAUUAUACAAAUGUUGUAUAAGAAGUUUGAAGAGCUAGACGUUCGGGAAUCUACUCCAGUCAAAUGUCGAGUAAGAUACUACUAGUAUCGUUCUAUGUAAACUUGGAUAAGAGCAUCAGUUCUUGGUAGCACAACUGAUCGCCGUUUCUUCUGUUCACUGGCAAUCGUAGAUGGAAUGGUUAAGCUCGUUGAGCACUGGGCUAACAACAAGAGCGUCCAAGAGGCCCUCCAUGUGCGAAGGGUAUGUCUAAAUCGAGCACUAUGGUAUGUAGCAUUUGAAUGCCGAAGCAAGCCUGAACUGAUUUCUGUAAUCACAUUGCAGGAAACUAUCGGACAGUGGUUAAGAUGCAACGAUACCUUGCCAUACACAAAAAAUGCAGGGAGUGUUGUACCAUAUCACGCAAACCUUAGCACUAAAGGUUAUAGAUCCCUUAUAUACAGGUUUGGUAGCUAACUCUGAAUCUUGAUGCAUGUAGGUUAACAGCAGUGAUUUUAAGUACUGAAAGUGGAGUACUUUGUGAUUCAGUGGUGACCAUGAUCUGAUGGUACCGCACAUUGAAACUCAAGCGUGGAUAAGAUCUCUACAUUACCCAAUUAUUGACGAUUGGAGACAGUGGAUUCAUGAAGGCCAAGUUGCCGGGUUUGGUUCAAAAUUGAACAAUGUUUCUUUUCUUGAUUACACCACCAUUAGCACGAGAUAAAAAGAUGACUUUACCCGACUCAUCUAAAUUUGUUCUGUUUUCCUGCCUCCAGUUACACAAGGACUACGCAAAUAAGAUGACAUUUGCAACAGUGAAGGCAAGAAAUUCCUGUUUCUAUUGCUUCAGUGCAAGAUUUGUUCACAUGGUAACGACUAACAACAAGGUUAGAACAUUCUUGGGACUAACUAGCACCCCUUUUUUCUUUUUCUUUUUUUUGGGUGAAGGGAGGAGGCCAUGUUGCUUAUGAGUUGAAGCCUGCCGAAUGCAGAACUAUGCUUGAGAGAUGGAUAUCGCAUCAGCCUCUCUAAUCAGUUGGCAUAUGGAUUAUGAACAUCUUUGAUCACUUCUGCGCAUCAAAUGUGCACUCUUAAUAUAUUAUUUGUAACUUUGGGUCAUGAGACGCUUCUCUCCAUGUCUCCAAUGGAUUGCCUUCUUAUGGAGAUAUGAUUAGUGGAGAAGUGAAUAAAAUGUAGUAGUUAAAAUGGGAAUCACGUUACGCCUCCAAACAUUUCUAUAUGACUGCUGAAGCUUUUACUUUGAAGAUAUGUCAUUGAAUUAAAUUUCCUCUAUUUUGCAAUAAAUAAAAUUUUGAAUUCACAGGAAAGUACCGUUUGCCAAGGAAUUCAAAUAUUAAAAAAAAUUGUUACUCCAUUAAACAUGAAUGGAGGGAAUCUACCAAAGCUUUUAAAAGAUGAAGUGGAGUAGGAAAAGGAAUUUCUUAUAAAUAAUGGAAAAGCAAUUUUCUUGAGAAUACUUUAAAACCAAAAGAAGAUAAAAAAAAAAAUCUCUUAUGUCUGGACUGAUCUAAUCACUUUUUAAGCAAAACUGUGACUCAAAAGUAAUUUAAAAGCCUUUUUUUUGUAGUCCUAAACUACGUGUUGUUGCCAUGGAUGAUCUGGUCAUCGAAACCUUACACUUAGCUAGAUUCGAUUUUUAGAAAUUUAAUUGGCUAGAUUCGAUUGUCAGAAAUUUAAUGGAUCAAAUUGUGUUACGCAUCUCACCAAGUGGUGCGACUUAAUCUGACUAUUGAGUUUUGAAAAUCGAAUCUAUCAAAUUUGGGCUGAACAUAUUAAGGAUAUAAAGAUCUCUCCAUUUAUGAUGAGCCCGGCAACAACGUUCAAAUCAUGUCUAGGACUGAUCUAAUCAUUUUUUAAACAAACUAUGCUCAAAAGUACCUUAAAAUCCCCCUUUUUUUUUAGAUAGUCCUAAAUUACAUGUUUAUGGUCAUGGAUAAUCUGGUCAUCGAAGGCUUACACUUGACUCAUACUUGAGUAAAUUCGAUCUUUAGAAAUUCAAUAGGUCAAAUUGUGCUACCACCUCACCAAGUGAUGCGACUUAAUUUGGACUACUGAAUUUUUCACAACCGGAUCUUCCAUGUUUUGCUGAACUUGUUAAGGUAUCAAGGUCUCUCUAUUAAUGAUGAGCCCGGCGACAUCAUUCAAAUCCUGCUGGUGCUAAGGAGAACGGGGCGCACAUAUGGGUGCAUGGGCUCACGUUUUUGCCUACUCAUAUGGAAAGGACGAAUGCAAGGCUCAUAUGGGAAGACGAGACGUGCCCAAUCAACAGAAACCUCGAGGAGAGAGAAGGUGA